GUCAUGGCCAUGUGGUGUUUGUUGUGCGGAAGUGGCAUUCGACUGUAAGUGAAUAGUAAAACAGAACAGAAACAAAACCAACAUCAACAAGAACACCAAGAUUUAUACUGGUUCGGCAAUGCCUACAUCCAGUUUGGAGACGACGGAGUAUUCCACUAUAAUCAAUGAGAACAUACAAUAGUGUUAUCACUCAAUUUCCCAAAGACCCAAAUAACCCAAGCUCUCACACUUACAAUAGGAAGAAAAAAAAAACAAAAAUACAAAGCAAGACAAUUUGAGAAAAUUCUUCUCUAUGCCGAAUGGCUUCUUGCUAUUUUUCUCUCUUCCUUUUUCCUAUCACUUCUCAAUGCUUAUGGGCUGCACCUUGCUCCCUUUUUAUAGCCAAAGAAAAAGCUUCUCAAAGACAUCAAUGGCCAAAGGCCUACCAUCAAGUCAAAAGAGUUAGGCACAAAUGCAUGUAAUUUUUUUGUUUCCCACAUGUAGCAUGCCAACCAACAAUUUUGACCACAAAAGUAGCCGAAAUCAAUUGUUGGUUUUAGACUACUUUGUUUGAGCCAAUAAUCAACAAUCUCCACCUUGGCUCAAACCCUCUAAGUAGAACUCCUAAUAGUCGUCUCCCAAUCCCCCAUGGGGCAAUCAACAAAUUUUACAAAUGCCAAUCAAGUCUAAGCAGUGCUUAAACUUGUGCAAUGAAACUGGCUUUGUUAACAUAUCCGCAGGAUUGUUAGCGGUCUCAAUCUUCUGAAGAAGAAUAUCUCCCUCGUCAAUAACCUCACGAACAAAAUGGAACCUCACAUCAAUGUGUUUCGUACGUGCAUGAUGAACUUGAUUCUUUGCUAAAUGAAUAGCACUCUGACUGUCGCAAUGAACAUCCACAUGGUCUUGUUGAACCCCUAAGUCAUCAAGCAACCCUUGAAGCCAGAUGGCUUCCUUUAUAGCUUCUGUCACAACCAUGUAUUCUGCCUCAGUAGUCGACAAAGCAACUGUAGAUUGCAGAAUCGACCUCCAACUUACUGGACCUCCAGCAAUAGUGAAUACAAAACCAGUAGUGGACCUACGCUUGUCCAAAUCACCUGCGUAAUCAGAAUCCACAUAUCCAACAACACAUUGACCAGUAACUUUAUCCUGCUGGAACAAUAAACCAACAUCCACAGUACCCAGAAUAUACCGUAGAAUCCAUUUCACAGCUUGCCAAUGCCCUUUUCCUGGAUUAUGCAUAUAUCUACUGACAAUACUAACAACUUGUGAAAUAUCAGGCCUAGUACACACCAUAGCAUACAUCAAACUACCAACAACAUUUGCAUAAGGAAUUUGAGCCAUGUACUGACUCUCUUCAACAGUUUUAGGAGACAUAGAAGCGCUAAGUUUGAAAUAAGAGGCAAGAGGUGUACUAACCGGUUUUGAAUUUUCAUUCAUCCUGAAACGUUGUAGUACCUUCUUCAAAUACUGCUUCUGACACAGACUAAUCUUGCCCUUCGCUCUAUCUUUUUCAAUUUCCAUACCUAGUAUCUUCCGAGCUUCUCCCAAGUCCUUCAUCUCAAAUUCAUUACUUAGUUGAGUCUUCAACCUUUCAAUCUCCACUUUGCUCUUACAUGCUAUAAGCAUAUCAUCAACAUAUAAAAGCAGAUAAAUGAAGGUUCCAUCUUGUAGUUUGCGAAAGUAUACACAAUGGUCAUAGUGACUUCUUGUGUACUUUUGCCCGAUCAUAAAUCCAUCAAAUUGCUUGUACCAUUGUCUUGGAGACUGCUUCAAGCCAUACAAUGAUUUUUCCAAUUUGCAAACCCAAUUUUCCUUUCCAGCAACCUUAAAACCUUCUGGCUGAGACAUAUAAAUCUCUUCCUCCAAAUCACCAUGUAAGAACGCAGUCUUGACAUCAAGUUGGGCCAACUCAAGAUCAAACUGCACAACCAAAGCCAACAGAAUACGAAUAGAAGAAUGUUUUACUACAUGAGAAAAUACCUCAUUGUAGUCAAUGCCUUCCUUCUGAGCGUAGCCUUUAGCUACCAAUCUGGCUUUGAAUCUUACAUUGUCUUUUCCCAAAGAUUCCAUCUUUUUGGCAUACACCCAUUUACAACCAAUUGCUUUCUUCCCCUUUGGUAACUGAACCAGAUUCCAAGUCUCAUUUUUAUGAAGAGAUUUCAUCUCCUCAUCCAUAGAUUUCUUCCACAACUCGCACUUUGAACUCAUGACAGCUUCUUUGUAGGCGGAUGGAAUGUCAUCUUCAAUAACAGGAAGUGCAUAUGCCACAAUAUCAGUAAAUCGAGCAGGCUUUCGAAUUUCCCUUCUAGAUCUUCUGGUUGCAAUAUAGUCUUGUUGCUGUGGAUGCUCUUGGGUAGGUGCCUCCCCUUCAUCAUCCUCGUCCUCAUCAUCAGAAUUAAUUGUAGGACUGGUGUUUGUAACAUCAUACCUUACUGGAACAACUGGAGUCUUCAGUAACUCCACCUGCUUUGAGCUACUCAUGGUCUCGGUCGCUUCAGUUUCACCUUCAUGCUUGUUCUGAUUAACCAUAGCAACCUCAUCAAAAGUCACAUCUCUGCUUACAACAAAUUUCUUCUCAUCUGGACACCAGAGUUGGUAUCCCUUCACGCCAGUGCUAAAGCCCAUAAAUAGAGCUUUCUUUGCUCUUGGAUCCAACUUGCUUUCUCUGACAUAAUAGUAAGCAGGACAACCAAAUAUGUGUAAAAACUUGUAAUCAGUACAAGGUUUACCAGACCAUACCUCAAUGGGCGUUUUGCCCUCAUUCGCAGCAGCUGGCAAUCGAUUAAUGAGAUGGCUUGCAUAAGUGAGUGCCUCAGCCCAAAAUGCCUUGCCUAAUCCAGCAUUAGACAACAUACACCGAACUUUCUCAAGCAAAGUACGGUUCAUGCGCUCCGCCACCCCAUUCUGUUGCGGUGUCUCCCCAACCGUGAAGUGCCUCACAAUACCCUCAUCUUGACAAACUUUCAAGAAAGGAUCAGACUUAUAUUCACCCCCAUUGUCUGAUCUGAGAGUCUUGAUCUUUCGACCGCUUUGCGUUUCAAUCAUCUUUUUCCACUUCAGGAAUAUCUUAAAGACUUCAUCUUUACGCUUCAUGAUGUACACCCAUAUUCUUCUAGAGAAGUCAUCAAUAAAGGAGACAAAAUAAUGGCUACCUCCCCAAGAUGCAUUCUUGGAAGGUCCCCAAACAUCAGUGUGAACAUAAUCAAUAAUGCCCUUAGUGUGGUGAAUAGCAGUGCCAAAUUUUACUCUAGUUUGCUUACCUAACACACAAUGCUCACAGAAUUCCAAUUUGCAUGCCUUUGCACCUUUCAAUAAGCCUUGCUUCACUAAUUCUUGCAACGUUUUUUCACCAGCAUGCCCAAGACGCAUAUGCCAUAACCUCGUGGUGUCUGUGUUAUCUGCGUCAGCAGCUUCGGUGACAGCUGCUCCACCAAUAACUGUACUCCCCUGCAAGAAAUACAAGUUAUUUCGUCUUGUACCUUUCAUCACCACCAGUGCCCCGUACACAGCUUUAAGAACUCCACCCUCCAUGGUGAUCUUGAGACCCUUGGAUUCCAAUGCACCCAGUGAGAUGAGAUUUUUCUUCAUAUCCGGUACAUACCGAACAUCACUUAAUUCUCUGACUGUUCAUCAUGCAUCUUCAAACAGAUUUUACCUAUCCCUUGUGUUUUGCAGGCAUUAUUAUUACCCAUCAAAACAACUCCACCAUCCAGCUCCUCGAAAUUAGAAAACCAUUCCCGAAUGGGACACAUAUGAUAGGUGUAACCUGAAUCCAAAAUCCACUCAUUGGAGUGACCAUCAGCAUAUGAACUAGCCAAAGCAAACUCGAAAUCAUCAUCUCCAGAUUUUGCAAUAUUUGCUUCAGAACCCGCUUUCUCCUUCUCUUUGUUCUUCAAUUUGGGGCAGUCUUUCUUCCAAUGCCCCUUUUGGCGACAAAAAGCACAUUCAUCUUUAGCAGGAAAACUUCCCUCGUGACUUUGAACGAGAUUUUUCCCCCGCUUCCCAGAUUUUCUUUCCUCUGUUCGACCCCUUGCAACAAAUGCCUCGGUUUGUGAAUUGUGAGUCUUCAGUUCCUUCUUACGACACUCAUGAUUCACCAAUGCUGCAGACACCUCAUCAAGUUUCACCUCGGAUUUUCCAUACAACAGAGUAGUUGUCAAAUGAUCAUAAUCAUCAGGCAAUGAAUUUAACAAACAUAGUGCCUUGUCCUCGUCAGGAAUUUUCACAUCAAGGUUUGCUAAAUCAACAAGUAUUUUAUUAUAAUCAUUGAGGUGUUCGUGCAUAGAGAUACCUGGACGAUACUGAAAUCGGAAGAGUCGCUUCUUCAAGAAGAGACGAUUUUCUGCGCUCUUGGUCAUAUACUUCUCCUUCAAUUUCGUCCAUAACUCCUUAGCAGAAGUUUCCUUCAUAUACGGGUAUUUCAACUCCUUAUCAAGGAACGAUCGAAUAGCAGCACAAGCAUGAAGAUUAAUUCGCGUCCACUGCUUGUCAUCAAUAUCUUCUGGUUUAUCUUCCAGAACCAUAUCCAACUCUUGUUGAUACAACACAUCCAUAACUUCACAUUGCCACAUACCAAAAUUAUUAGAGCCAUUGAAUUUAUCAACCUCUAACCUUGUAGUAGUGGUUGGAUGUCUAUUGGAUGAAGACGAUGCUGACCCAUUCUUUACAGAUUCAUCUUUAUCUCCAGCCAUCUACUCGGCACUAUUCACAAAUACGGCACUGUUCACAGAUACUGUAGCAGUUCACUGUUCACGGAACUGUUGCGUUAACACUAUUCACGGAACUGGGCUCUGGUACCACUUGUUGUGCGGAAGCGGCAUUCGACUGUAAGUGAAUAGUAAAACAGAACAGAAACAAAACCAACAUCAACAAGAACACCAAGAUUUAUACUGGUUCGGCAAUGCCUACAUCCAGUUUGGAGACGACGGAGUAUUCCAGUAUAAUCAAUGAGAACAUACAAUAGUGUUUAUCACUCAAUUUCCCAAAGACCCAAAUAACCCAAGCUCUCACACUUACAAUAGGAAGAAAAAAAAAACAAAAAUACAAAGCAAGACAAUUUGAGAAAAUUCUUCUCUAUGCCGAAUGGCUUCUUGCUAUUUUUCUCUCUUCCUUUCUCCUAUCACUUCUCAAUGCUUAUGGGCUGCACCUUGCUCCCCUUUUAUAGCCAAAGAAAAAGCUUCUCAAAGACAUCAAUGGCCAAAGGCCUACCAUCAAGUCAAAAGAGUUAGGCACAAAUGCAUGUAAUUUUUUUGUUUCCCACAUGUAGCAUGCCAACCAACAAUUUUGACCAUAAAAGUAGCCGAAAUCAAUUGUUGGUUUUAGACUACUUUGUUUGAGCCAAUAAUCAACAGUGUUUUGGGUACAACCGUGCAAGAGAGCUUUUCGCGGAGAUUCGAAGACUUAAACUAGGCGAUGGAGCUAGAACCCGUGACACUGGUCCUUGCCAUGAAAGUUCUUCUCGUUAACGCACCAUACUGGAACGUAUACCAUCAAAUCAACAAUGGCAUGCAGAGCAAGGAGCUAUAUAUUGAAACAUAAAACUUGUUAAUCCAAAGCCACUUCUCAGCAUCCAAAACUGAUAUAUACAACAUACCAAGGACAAGGACUAAACAACCUUACCUCAUAAAAACUGAAGUAAAAAGGAAAAUAACAACAGUAAGAGUACUAUUAACACAAUUUAGAAAAUCUUAAACGAAUUGCAACCGAGUGAGUGAGCUUCGAUCUUGAACAAAUCGCAACUGAGAGAGAGUGAGCUUCUCUCUUGAACGAAUCGCAACUGAGAUAUAUAUGGCUCCAUUGCAGUUCCUAUAUAUCUGAAGCAACACAUUCGGCAAUGGAAGAAGUUUUCUGGAGUAGUAACUUAUAGCCUGAGCUUCAAGUAAAUGAUUUGACAAGUCCAACAGAGAAAAAAUUAUCUUGGUUCCACCCCAAAUCGAAUAUGGAUUGGAUCAAAUCAAACAAAUGCUUCUUUUGACUUUUUGGCAUAGGUGAAGCUGAACUAACUAAGCUAUGUCUAUCCAUAAAUUUGAGUAAGUAACUAAGAUAUAUAUGAACCAUGUCCCCAAAUUAAAAGGAUAUCACACUAGUAAUCAUUUUAGUUUAUCUCAAUUUUCAUGUUCAUUGAUGUAAUUUCAUUUUUCUUAACACAAACUAAAACUUUUUCGACUCAUAUUUUUAAGGGGGCAUAGAAGUGAAGAAGAAAUCGAAAAUGAAAUCAAAACUAAUAAACUGUGAGUAAGGGUGAACGCUCUUAUUAAAUUGAGAUACAAGUUCCUUGCAUCCAAACUAGGUUUUUCAAAAUGGACAGGGAUCCUCUCCGGAUCUCUUCCAUCAAAUCUACCAAUUCGGACCUUUAAAAUUUAAUCAAACGGCUAAAAAUAGGGGUUCUUUUAAAAGUUAUAAUAACUUUAGCAGUUAGAUCAAAUUUCAACAAGCCAAAUUGGUGGAUUUGGUAGAAGGGAUUCAGAGAUGAUCCCUUUUUCUUUCAAAUUAAUGAUGACGUGGACAAGAAUGAAAAUGUCAACUCAUUUAAAGUGCAAACAAAACUAAACUCCAAGGGUAAAAUUAAAUGAAAAAAAUUAUAGGGACAAAAAUAAAAUCCAAAUAAUUACAGGGACUAUUAGUGCAAAUUCCUUUUUAUCAACUCAGUAAUCCAUUUGGGUGCGUUUGUUGCCCCGGACUAUCUCGGACUGGACUAACUUUAGGGACUAAGCUGGACUGGCUUGGCUUGGACUAAGCAGGAUAAGAAUAGUGAAGUGUUUGGUACAGUAUUGGACUAAACUAUAGACUAAAAUAUUUUAGGACUCAAAUCGUUUUUUUUUUUCAUUUUUAAUCCACACUUACUUAACAAAAGAAAAACUAAAAACUCAGUUUCAAAAAAAAAAAAAAAACUAAAAACUAAAAACUAAUAAAAAAAUAAAUAAUAAAAGAUCAAAUCCAGUAGAACACCACCGUUUUAUCCUCUCUCCUCCAAAAUUGACGAAACCGGAAUUUGACAAUUUGUUCCAUCGUCUUCAAUCUUCAUCUGGGCAGUGCUCUUUCAGCCCUCCCAUGCGCCGACCCACUCACCCAUCAGAAAUAGGACACAAUUGUCAAGCUACCAAGGCCGAGCUUCAACAAGAGCUUUGAAAAUUUUUAUCGGAAUUUCUUGACUGCAUCCAAUGGGCACAACAUCAGCAUGGAAAAAAAGGGACAGCCAGAUGGUUCUUCUUCAAUUCAAGAGAAAUAAUUAUCAUUUUUUAAGGCAAAUUGACCAAGUUCAUGAGCAGCUCUAAUUACCAAGUUCAUCCCCCAAUUCCCAUAUUGAUCCGAGAGAGAAAGGAGACUUGUUCUGGAAGCUCACCAGAGGAUCAAUAGCUUUGACGAAGAACAACGGUUCGCUCCCACCAAUUCACGCAAGGAGACGGCGAGGGAAGCAGCGUAUUGAGGUUCUUAGCAAUCCCAUGCUUUUGGGUCGGACUAAUUAGGACGACUUAACGAGGCUGGUAGUCCAUGCGAGUCCGGGCUUGUCCCAUUUAACUUAGUCCAUAACAAUGCCAAACGUGGGUUAUUAAUCUUAGCUAGUCCAAUCCUAGCUAAGAAGGUCAAACAAACGAGCCCUUAAGUUUAAACCACCGCCCAAUCUCAUCUCAGAAACCCUUCUUCGACCAACACAAAAAUCUCAGAAACCCUAACGCUGCCAAUCAGGUUCGCAUUCGAUUCUAUCCAUCCGCUAUUUUAUUUUUCCAAUUCAAUUUGUUCUUAUUUUUUGCCCGAUCGAAGGUUAGGGUUUUUCAAAAUUCGUGUUCUAAUCGCGUUCUUAGGGUAAAUUAAUCGUAAAUUAUUGCUUGUUUGAUUAAUAUUUGAUUGUUAAAUUGAAUAUUUUGAGUUCAAUCUGAUUGGGUAUCGACAGGAAUAUAUGAACUCGAUUUAUUUGUUUAAUUUUAAAUUUUGUUAUUCGGAAGUUUUGAAUUUAUUUAUUUAUUUUGGUACCCUGUGAAAUUGGAACAGUUUGGGGUUGGAGGAGGAGGAGAUUAUCGACCAUGACGUCUCUGAAGGAGCUGAUUCCGCCGCCGGCGGCAACCACAACGACUUAUUACGACCACUCGAACGAUCCGUGGUUCAAGCAGCGGUUCAGUUCUGCCGAGGCAGAAAGAUCUGCAGCUGUCGUUAAACCUAAUCCUGUGCCUCAGUACUUGAAACGUCAAGGCUUUGUUCCUAGGAAGGUGGAGGAUUUCGGGGAAGGCGGUGCUUUCCCGGAGAUUCACAUUGCUCAGUACCCUCUUGGCAUGGGCAGGGACAAGUUGUCGAAACCCGGGACGAAGAUUCUUCCAGUUUCGGUUGAUGCGAAUGGGGAGAUUGCGUAUGAUGCUAUUGUUAAGCAGAAUGAGAACUCGAGAAAGAUUGUGUAUUCUCAGCAUAAGGAUAUUGUGCCAAAAAUUUUGAAGGAUGCGGAAGAGGAGAUGGAAGAGGAUGAGGAUGAGGAGGAGCAGAAGGUGAUUGAAGAAACGACGGCAGAAACAAAAGCUGCGCUUGAGAAGAUUGUGAAUGUGAGAUUGAGCGCUGCACAGCCGAAAAAUGUGGCCAAGCAGUCGUCAGAAUCGCAAUAUAUCAAGUAUAAACCGUCACAGAAAUCGGAGGCAUUUAAUUCUGGUGCCAAGGAGAGGAUUAUCAUGAUGAACGAGAUGCCUGUGGAUCCACUUGAGCCUCCGAAGUUCAAGCAUAAGCGUGUUCCGAGGGCUUCUGGAUCCCCACCUGUCCCGGUCAUGCAUUCCCCUCCUCGGCCGGUGACUGUGAAAGACCAGCAGGAUUGGAAGAUUCCACCUUGUAUUUCAAACUGGAAGAACCCAAAAGGGUAUACAAUUCCAUUGGACAAACGUCUUGCAGCUGAUGGGAGAGGCCUUCAAGAUGUUCAGAUUAAUGAUAAUUUUGCAAAGCUCUCUGAGUCUUUGUAUGUUGCGGAGCAGAAGGCUAGAGAGGCAGUUGCUAUGAGAUCUAAAGUUCAGAAGGAAAUGUUGAUGAAGGAGAAAGAAAAGAAAGAGCAGGAGUUGAGGGCAUUAGCGCAGAAAGCGCGUUCUGAGAGAACAGGUGCUGCGCCCCCUGCAGCUGUUCCAAUGGCUUCUGACAGAACAGCCAUGGAUACUGAUAUGAGAGGGGAUUAUGGGCGUCCAACAAGGGAAAAGGAAAUGGAUUAUCCAAAGGGGACAAGAGAAAAGGAAGAAGAGAGGAUUGGGAGGGACAAGAUCCGCGAAGAGCGGCGCAAAGAGAGAGAAAGGGAGAGAAGGUUGGAGGCCAAAGAUGUAGCAGUGGGGAAGAAAAGUAAAAUUACGAGAGAUAGAGAUCGUGAUAUUAGCGAGAAAGUUGCUCUUGGCAUGGCUUCGGCGGGAGCAGGCAAAGGGGGAGAGGUUAUGUAUGAUCAGAGGCUAUUCAACCAGGAGAAAGGAAUGGACUCCGGGUUUGCCACUGAUGACCAGUACAAUGUUUACGACAAAGGCUUGUUUACUGCUCAGCCGACACUCUCAACUCUAUACAGGCCUAAAAAGGAUGUUGAUGGUGAAAUGUAUGGCGGUGCUGAUGAGCAGUUGGAUAAGAUUAUGAAGACUGAUCGCUUCAAACCCGACAGAGGAUUUGGAGGAGCUGCUGAGAGGGCAGGGCCAAGAGAUAGACCAGUCGAGUUUGAGAAGGAUGCUGUGGAAGAAGCUGAUCCAUUUGGUCUUGACCAGUUCUUGACAGAGGUGAAGAAGGGCGGCAAGAAAGCGCUUGAUAAGGUUGGAACAGGAGGAACAAUGAGAGCAAGUGGCGGCUCUUCCAUGCGAGAUGCCUAUGAAGGCGGCUCCAGCAGAACUCGUAUUGGCUUUGAAAGGGGUCGCUAAGCUGUUCGGAACUGCAAGUCUUUAAAUUUACGUAUCUAUUUUGGUCUGGAAAGUUAUGAAUGUGGCUCUUUAGUUCUUGAAAGCAAUUGGCUGCCUAUGUUUGUGGAGAUAAACGUUCAUACUUCAAAUUGUAAGAUGUUUUUACAAUUUUCUUUGAUGCAGUUUUUGGUUACCAUCCCUACUUUAUGUGACUUGUGCAAAAUUUCGUUCGAUCUCUUUGGAAUAUUUCAUAGUUAUUGCAUCAUCCCGGAGUUCUGAUUCCGAAAAAGUCAUCAUGCACUCUUCGGGUUGCUUUAUAAGGUAAAGAACAUUUGAUAGAACGUUGCUAAUACACAACGUGCAACGUACGAGUGUGCACGGAUAACACAUCAACAAUGAAAUGGCAAUGCGAAGAGAUGUUUGGUGUGCCGAGGACGCUUGUUGUAUCGGACCGUGUUGUCGAUACACUAAAAAUAUCUCGGCGAUGUGGAGGUCGAUGGAGAAGUAAAUCUAGUAUUACAUCUGUAAGUUUAAAGCACCUUCUCGGCAUCCAGAAAUGAUGCAAUCAAAAAGUCAUGUACUAAGGAUUGAUAAAUGAUAGAUUCAACAUUACACACAUAAAUUAGAAGGAUUAAAAGGAAAAGAAGUAAGAGGAGGGUGGUUUAAAUAACUUCAGAAAACAAUACGGAAAAUUCGUUUUAAACAACUUUCGAGUGAGUUCUUGAGCCAUCCAUGAUAUAGAAAUCUAUCGCUAUUUUGCGGAGUCUCUUUUCAAAUUCGGCACUCUGGCGCUCCGGAAGUAGCCUUCCGAGCAACAGUUUACCUGCAAACAACAUCCAUGAAAACUCGAACAUUACAAAUAAGUUCAUUUUAAGGAGGCACUGCCAUAACCACUGGGACAUAGUCGAGAAAGAAUACCUACAUUGUAAUUUUGUAUUUGCGGUGGCGCUCCAUGAAAAUUAUGCUGAGAGAGCUGAAGCCAUGAAUGCUUUUAUGCAAACAUAUGAGAAUCAAUUUGCUCGAUAUUUGGGAAGAUUUGUCUCAAGGUAGUAGCAUAGUUUGGAGACUUUGCCUGCAAUACGAGAUGCAUGACCAAAUAUAAAUAAUUUUAAAAGCAUAUGAAACACAUUUAUCAACAAACCAAACAAAGCAUAUCAACACAGAAAGGAAUGCAGAACCAAUUAUAUAUUUAUGUACAUUGUCGUUAUCUGUUCGACAGUCUUCUUUGUUACUUGAAAUUAGUUCAUAGACACAUAGUAUGGUUUGCCUUCAUGAUAACCCUAAAGGAUGUAAACAUGUAAUAUAUAUCCAGACCUACGAAAUCUUGCAACCACUAUUCUUCCUUUUUCUCUAACGGACUCUGCACUUUCAACAAACAUGUAUGUAUAUCAGAAUAUUGCUGCAGCUGGUAGUACGUUUCGCCACUAUAUUUAUUUGACCAAAGCAUUAGACUUGCAUGAACUCUCGUACCACUUGGCAUUUAUCAACACGGUAAUUUUAAACUUCCUUAAACGGAAUCUAAGCAUGUUAAAUGAAUACAACAGUAAAACUUAAAAUAUAGUACGUUUGCAGGUUACAGAUAAACAUACACAUGGGUUUUUUUCGAGAUAGAUGGUAGUGAGCUUCUCUCUUGAACCAGCAAGAACCUCGGCAAAGCCUUCAAGUGACUCUAUGCUGUUGUCAUUAAGCCAUAGAUCUUCUAACCUAUAGCACAAGAUUCCCAUAAGAAUAUAGAACCGACAAGACCAACAUCAAACCCAAUAGCGAGAAAGAGGUCUAAUACAUACAUUGUUAGGCUUUCUAUACCCUCCACCGAUGUUAGCUUAUUAUUCGAUACAUCCAGGACACGUAGGUUGACUAAUGUUGAGAGGCCUUCCAUUUUUGAAAUACCAUUAUGGCUCAAGUACAACUCCUCUAGAGCAACGCACUCCUGCAAAAGGUAGAACGAUAUAAAGUUUCAAUAUUUAUACAACAAAUGCAUUUGAGAUUUCCGCCUCACACAAAUCGUGGUGGCAAAUCACUUACCUCAAAUCCCGUCAUUGAAGUUAACCGAUUGCUUUGCAAGCUCAGCUUCUUGAUGCAUUUCAACCCACACAAAUUCACCACCUUAAUCCGAUUCCGCCCCAGCCACAGCUCCUGCAAUUUUGUCAAGGUCUGCAAAUUCUCCAUCACCUGAUUUGCAUUUCAUCAUGCAAUCAGAACAAGCCGGAUGCUAGGUUUGCUACAUUAUCAAUAAUUUCCAUGUACAUAAUCUCAAACGCUCAAUAGAACUAACCCGCAAUCGAUUCGAACCGAGCUCGAGAAUCAGAAGCUCGUGGAGGUGCUCAAUUUCUUCAAUCUUGGUGACUUCAUUUUUAGACACGUACAGCUCCUUGAGGGUACUGGUGACCUUGGCCAAUCCAUGUAACAAUGUAAUCUCGUUGAACGAAACGUCGAAAACCAGAAGCUUCGUGAAUAUGCUGACAUCAGGUAUUUUCCCGAGCUUAUUAUCCCUCAGCACCAACUCCUGCAUCCCUCAAAACUGUUAAUUUUCCCGGGAACCAAACAGGCAGUCAAGAAAAUCACAUUCAAUCUUAUUUUCCCGGAAACCAAACAAAUCACCGAGAAAAUCACAUUUAAUUUAUUUUCCCGGGAACCAGACAAACCGCCGAGAAAAACACAUUUAACUUUUUUUAUUUACCUCGAGACCGGAGAGGGCGUCCCAGCCGGAGAUCGGUUCGACGGCGGCGUCUUCGAUGAGGUUCUGACGGAGAGAGAGCUUUUUGAGGUUGGAGAGGGUCGCAAUCCGAGGGUCCAAACCGGUGAGGCGGUUCGCCGUCAGGUCUAACUCUGUUAGACUCGGCGGUAACUCGACCGAGUCGAGGUCGUGGAGCUGGAAGCUGGUGAGAUCGAGGACCGUCGAGGACGGAUCGUCGUCCGCCGUCUGAUCAUCGUGAUCUACGGGAUUCUGACCCGGCGGUGGCGCUUCAGUCUGGUCGGCCAUUGAAGCGAACGGUAGACGCUAGCAUACGUGUUGCGUUUUAUUUUCGUUGGUUUUUAUUUCCCAGGUAUUUAUAUUUUAUUUUAUUUUUGUUGUUUUUGCUUCGCAGCCGGAAAGUUUUGGGCCCCUCAUAUGGGCCGGCCCAAUCGUAAAUUGUUGAGUCAUGUUUAACUAAUAAAUACAUCACUUGAUUCCUUGACGAUGACUUUAGAAUUUAUCUAGUUGAAAUUUAUUGGUAUAAUUAUUAGAAUUAUUCUAAUUAUGGUAUUAUCUUGUGUUUGCUAGCUCAUGAAACUAUAUUAAUUUUAAACUUCUUUUAUCUUUAUUAACAUAUACAAAAUAAGUGGUGACUUGACUUAGUGGUUAGGGUCUUAUUUUUUAACCUAUUGAUUUGGGUCUAAACUAUCUCGUCAUUUUAGUAUAGAAAAUCGUUUAUGCUAUAACAAAAAAAGGAAUAUGAUUCUCUAUAGAUUGUUUUUAUUCGGAUCUUCCGGAUCCUUCACUAUGUCAGUUCAAUCGAAAAUCAAACGAUCAAGAAAACGUUCAAACGACCUUGACGCCAUUAGAAUGAGAAGAAGCUACGAUGACAACAAAAGCUUUAGGACCUUUGCCUCGAGAUCCGCAACAAUGGUGUUAAUGGUAAAAGGGUUGAGAGGGGCGCAUACGUCAAAGAAAACGAUGGCAUUGUCGAGAUUGUAGAUGCGAUUGAUGGCGCCUUGUUCGAGGAAUGAGAAGAAGUUGUGAUGGCUUCGAGGCCUUGUUCCAGGCAAGGGAUGCAAGCAAUCUUGAAGGAUCUAGAUGGAAAGGAUUCGGAGAUGAUCAUUUUCCUAAAAAGAGCUAUAAAAUUAUUUUUUCUUGACCGUUACAAGAUUAUCUCUCUUUUUCAUUAUUUAUUUUUUGGGACGUAUUUUGAAAUCAAGAAAAAAGAGAAGGAAAAAUAAAAUAAAAAGGAAGACAAUGUCGCCUGACGCGUGAUUUGAAAUGAGGAGACCACACGUGCCGCCCUGAUUUGAACCCAAAACCAAAACCCCCCUCUCUCUUCUCUCUCUCUCCUCCCAAUCAGAGCAAGCAGCCAUGGAAGCGAUACUUCGAGACUGUGUCCAGCACAGUCUCCGUGAUUUCAUGCACCGGAACGCCAUUUUCGUAUGCGAACGCCUCUGUGCCGAGUUCCCCUCCGAGGUACCUCUUAUCCACCUACUCUUUCACUCUCUUUCUUUUCAUCGCCUGCUUGUUUGGUUGCCGAGAAAAUCCCAUGAAAGAAAGAGAAAAUGUGAGAUAUGCCGUAUUCGGAAUGAAAUUUCUUCUUUUUCUUGUGUUUGGGGGACAUUACCGCUUCUAUUAUGUUGAUCGACGCUUCGUGUUUAGUUUACCAGUAAUUUGUGAAGAUUUUACUUAUGCCCGAGUAAUUUAGUGUUUUGUAAUUUGAGAACUAGGGUUUUGUCGCUUUAGAAUCUUUAGGGGUUCACAUUUUUUUUUCUGGAACAAAAUGCUUUCUUUUAAGGUUAAUUAUUUACUUUCAGUUUUUUUAUGAGCUUUGAAUUAUUGGAGCUCUGGACUGCAAAGUGUUUGUGCUAGCUCUUUGUGAAUGAAGUAUAAAGGUGUGGGCUUUUAGAUAAUGGGAUUUCUAAAUGGGGUUUACUUACUACAUUGGUGCUAUUUUUGUUAGCAUUAAUCGGAUAGGUUAUGGGAUUUUCAGAAGUUGAUACGAAAUUUGUUAUAUGGCAGACGAAUUUACAGUUGUUAGCUGGCUGUUACUUGCAAAGCAACCAAGCUUAUGCUGUAUAUCAUAUUUUAAAGGGUAAGCAAGUCAUAUUAAGUACUCCCCUUUUUUCAUUGUGGGUUUUCAUUGCGAAUUUAUUAUUUCCAUCAUAGUAUUUCUCAUCCACAUGGACCUCUUUUCUUUUUUUCUGAUGAUUUAUGAAGGAACACAAGUGGCUCAAUGCCGCUACUUGUUUGCACUAUCAUGCUUUCAGAUGGAUCUUCUAAGUGAAGCAGAAGCAGCGUUAUGUCCUGCUAAUGAGCGUGGUGCUGAGGUAUUGAACUCUAUUUUAUUUGGAGCAUGAUUCUAAAGUAAUACUUCAUAGUUACUUUUUCAAGUCUUGCUUGCUAAAACAUUUUUCAUUGUUUUCUACAUAAUAGGAGUUGAAAUGAAUGGCAUUAACCAUUUAGACAUUAUGUAAUUUCUGCUAAGUGUUCCAAAUGUUGAUAUUGGUAUUCAGUUUUCAGCCUGUUCAUGUGGUUUCUAACAGCAGAUGACUUGCUUAUUAUUCCUUUGGCAGGUUCCAAAUGGCGCAGCUGGUCAUUACCUUUUAGGGCUUAUAUACAGGUUUGUCUCCUGUCUUCUGGAGCUUCUUUGUAUGCAUUACCUUUGUUACAGGGAUACUUUAUAAGUUUCUUGAAAAGGAUUUGUUUGUGAAGAUGGUUAAAAUUGAUGUAAUCAAUCUAUUUUAUCAGGCUGAACAAAAAAACAUACACUCAUUUAAGAUGUGAAUUCUAGUAGUAAUGUUGUUGUUCCUCCAAGAAAUAUCUUUUGGGGUCUUUAGGUUUGAAUCUUCUUCCUUCUAGUAGGGUUAGGUGAACUAUUGAUGGUGCUUGUGAAAUUCUUCUGAUUGGCAAAGUGUCCUCUUCUGAACUGAUCCCUUUGUCUCUCUGCUUGCAUGUUUCUUGGGAUAGAGGAUUUUGUUGUGCUAUAUUAAUUUAGGUAUGCUACCUUUUAGUUGAAUUUGUAGCGUCUUGCAACUACUUAAGUAUCUCUUUCCGUACUUUACAGUAAUUGUAUGCUGGAUUGUAUGAUUUUAUUGUACCUCUCAUGAUUUUAUUGUUUAUAAUUGGUAUUGUUCUAGGUAUACUGACAGAAGGAAAAGUGCCAUCCAUCACUUUAAGCAGGCUUUGACUAUUGAUCCUUGUAUGUGGACUGCUUACGAAGAGCUGUGCAUAUUAGGUCCGUACAGUGUUACACACAUCAAAGUAAUAGUGUAGGCAGAUUAGAGCCUUUUGUUCUAUAUGAAUGUACUUUUAGAGUGGCCCCCAUGUCCACAAUUUUACUUUUGGACGUUUUUUUAUUGAUAUGGCAUCUUGUGAAAAUAAUAUAGUUUUUUUGCAACUGGUUAAUUAAUGGUUUUACUAAAUCGAAAAUUCUGUGUUGAUUAUUUAUGGCGAUUUGGUGCCUUCAGAUGCAUAUGUUGAGGCUUUGUAUUUUCCGUUGUUUCAGGUGCUGCUGAAGAAGCAGCUGUAGUUUUUGGUGAAGCUGCCGUUCUUUCCAUACAAAAACAGUAUCUACAUCAUGGAUUAGCUUCUCAAAGUUUACUUACCCUGAAUGAGGACUGCAAUUUAGUUUCUGGCAGGAAUUUUAGCUCUGAAGAUGUUGGCCAGAGACAAUUGAAACAUGUUCAAGGAAAUAAUACAAGAGAUUUGUCUGGAAAUUCUCAUGUUAGUUUGGGCGGAGUGUCUGGUCAUCCUGUAAAUGGCACUUCUGGUUCAUCUUUCUUUAACACUCCUUCCCCAAUGCCCAUGCAGGUAUAUAUAAGUUGUCCCCUCCAAUUUUUCUCUAGCAGUCCUGCAUUUAUUGCUGUAUCUCUGUCCUUUCUACCAGUGCUUACUCUUAUCUUACUAUUGGUAUCAAAUGAUUUAAGGUCUGUUAUGGCUUUGUAACUAUUGUAACUAUGUGUCUGGACCACUUCAGGUAGGUUUUGUCUUGAAAUGAAGUAUUUGGUUUCUUUACUGAUAUGUUUGGUCUUUUUGAAAUUAGACCAAUUUAUGUAGGAUAAGUGCAAAUAUUGCCUACAAUUGGAUAUGCCAGGCUUUAGGAUUUGGAAAGUUGUGGUCGAAAGACAUAAGGCUGUAGGAGAAGAGGUUUAGGAUUUGUAAAUCAAAGUAUGGUUUGAUUAUGGGUCAAAAGGAGGGAAGGAGGGGCUGAUUUGAGGAAACCUGGUUGCUGAAAUUUCGCACAGCAGGCAGCUAAGGUUCCCAAUUAAGACACCUACCCAAUAAGCACAUUGCUAACCAAGGUUCAUAUAAAAAUCAUUUGACUCCUUAAAAAUCUCCGAAAGCCUUAAAGCAAAGAUAAUUUGAAGAAUAUAAACUUAUGGGAAUCUGGUACUGCAGGCUACUGUUAUGUAUAAACACCCACACCUCUAAAAUUAGAGUAAAUUGUACAAAUGGUCCCUCAACUUUAAUCAAAUUGGAGCAAUGGUCCCUCAACUAAAAAGCCAUUACCAUUGGUCCCUCAACUUAUCAAAAUGUGUAGUUAUAGUCAUUUUCAUCAAUUUUAUCAAAAUUUUGUCAAAAUAAGCUAUGUUGGAAUGACCAUUUAUAUAACUAGGGUCCCUUAACUCAUCAAAGUGUAUAAUUAUGGUUCUUUUCGUCAACUAUGUCAAAAAAUUUGUCAAAACGAGUUAUAUUGGAAGGACCAUUGCUACAAUUGGAUUAAAGUUAAAGGACCAUUUCUCCACUUGAAUUAAAGUUCAGGGACCAAUGGUAAUGGAUUUUUAGUUGAGGGACCAUAGCUGCACGUUUUGAUAAGUUGAGGGACCAAAGGUAAUGGAUUUUUAGUUGAGGGACCAUUGCUCCAAUUUGAUUAAAGUUGAGGGACCAUUUGUACAAUUUUCUCCUAAAAUUAAGGACCAAAUCUAAAACAAAUUCAAUGCUAGAGUCUUUAGGACAUAAUCACUCAAUAUAUACGAUUUAGUUGUCAUCUCAUGUUGCUUGUGGGUACCUGAAAUAAAACAUUGAAACUUAUAUUUGUCAAAAUAAAAAUAUGAAAUUCUUGUAUCAUCACUGAUCUGUCCCUGUUUGCAGUUGUCAGGUGUUGCUCCACCAGCUCUCUGUAGAAUUGGCCAGCCAAAUGGCCCAAACCUGAGCACAGGUACCGAUAGCUCUCUGAAGUCAAAUGUGAGCUCUACAAUUCAAGCCCCCAGAAGAAAGUUUGUUGAUGAAGGAAAACUCCGCAAGGUACAGGCUCCACUUAUUCAUAAUUCAAAUAAUUUUUUUUUUCCAUUGAUACAAUUCUUAAUGUCACUGAUUUCGUACUUUUCCUUGCUAUACCUUAACUAUUCGAGUACAUGUAAUGUUUUGGUAUUGUUUGAAUUUCAUGUGAGUCUAUGCUUUCUUGUUUUUGUGGUUUAAUGUAGGCUUACAAUGAGAUUAUUUAUUUGGUAGUGAUGUUGCCUUUAGCACCUUAUUUGAGUAAUUAGUUAUAAAUGGGUUUUCUUGUCUCUGUAUAUUUCCUGGUGACAUUUUCAUGUUGUUUAUGGAAUGUUGAGGUCAAUGACUUCUUACAAUUAUUUGUCUUCCCUUUGCAGAUUUCAAGCAGGUUGUCUUUUGAUUCUGGCAACCGGCGGAGCAAUAGACUUGCUGCUGAAGCGGGGGCCAACACUAAUGUCAGUGCCUCAGUGACAGCCGGAAAUGGAACUACCAAUUCAUCUAAAUAUCUUGGAAGUUCCAAGCUGAGCUCUGUUGCACGUUCCUUCGCAAAUCGUAAGGGGCAGCCAUGGCCCAAUGAAAAUGUUGAUGAAGGUGAUGCAUCUUCUCAUUUCUGAGUCAUUUGGUGAACUAUACUACCAUAUAUAGAGAUUAGCAGGCACAAGAAGCCAUUUUAUCACCAAUAUACUUAAUUUCUUCUAUUAAUAGAGAAACGACAAAUUGCAUUAUAGUGAUUUAAGUCUUUUCACUUCCUUUGCUCAUAUAAGUUUAAUAGCGUUUCCUGGAUAAUAUAAGUACAAACUUUCCGUUCAAGGAUACUCUUGAUUCUUCUACGCAUGUUACGUCCAAUGGAUUUUUUGCUAAUAGUUGUGAUUUCCAAACUUGGGUCCUAUUUAGGAAUGCGCAAUGAGACAUAUGAUGAUUCCCGUUCAACAACUGUGACAGUAGCUUCUGGUUUUACUCCUAGUGAUACUAGAUAUCUUGAACAAGAAGGAGCAACCUUGUCAAGUACUGGUGGUAUUAUCAAUGUUUCAAGAGUUGCCACUGGUGCUUCAGAAAUAUUGAGUCUUUUGAGAACCCUUGGGGAGGGCUAUAGACUUUCCUGCAUGUACAGAUGUCAGGUACUACUUGGUUACUGUGGAAUAAAAUGAAUUAAUAUUUUUUUCCUAGGUUGAGGUUGUAUUUUGUUAUCUAAUAUUGUCUCUGUUGUGCAGGAUGCACUCAAUGUCUAUCUCAAACUUCCAUACAAGCAUUACAAUACAGGAUGGGUGCUUUCCCAGGUAGUUUUUUUUUAUAGAAAACUUGGCUGUAUUUCUAUAUAGUCUCCUGCUGUGAUGACCUUGUACACAGCACUGGAUUCUUAAUACAGGAUUCCAUUCGCCUAUUUUCUGCUGUUGGUGGAUGUCUGUAUAAGUUAGUUAGCUAGUUUCAAAAACUAAAAGGAAAAUAAUAUCUUUCUCAUCAGAUCUGAAAAACACGGGAUUUUCUGCUAUUUGUUUGAUUUCCCACUGUCAUCAGAACUUAAUUAAUUUGUCUUGUCAUACGUUUAUCUCAUCUUUAGACUUAUUUCAUUCGCUCUUUUGUUACACUUCAUAUAGUCUACCAUGAUUUUUUGAUACCAGAUGAGUGGUACGAUUUGUCAUAGUCUUCCAUGAUUUUUCUAUACCUAAGCCUAUGUUUUUCAAUAAUUUCAUUUUCACCCACACCAACUCAAAUCCCUUGCAGCUGCUCCUUUGAAUGAUUUUUGCCCUUACAUAUUAUAAUACUUGCAUAUCAUUGACUAUUUUGGCAUUCUUCAAUUGCAGGUUGGAAAAGCUUAUUGUGAAUUGAUAGACUAUUCAGAAGCUGAUCGGGCCUUCAGUCUUGCCCGUCAGGCAUCACCUUACAGUUUAGAAGGGAUGGAUAUGUAUUCUACAGUUCUUUAUGUGAGUCCCCAAAUUGAUGUAGCUCAAAAACCUUUGAAAAAAAAAUUGUUUUGUCUUAUGACUUGGAUAAAAAAAGUGUUGUAGUUUCCAGAGGAUGCUUUCGUUAUAUGUUAGAUGGUCAGUUGGGUUGCUCUCCUGUCCAGCUAAUCCUUCUGAAAUCAAGCUAGCCACUAAUUUUUCAUUGUUGUGUGGCUUAGCUUUUCUCUUUACUUUACUGUUAAUAAUUGCUGUGCACUGAGAGUAUUCUUACUCUUUGCAGCAUUUGAAGGAAGAUAUGAAGUUAAGUUACCUGGCUCAAGAACUGAUAUCAACGGACCGCUUAGCUCCUCAGUCUUGGUAGCUAUAUCAUAAUUUUGCGAAAUAAUACAGCAUUCAAAUCUCAAUUUUCUUUUUAGUAUCUCUUGUCAGUCAUAAAGACUUAUUUCUUUCUUAUCGAAUGGUAUUGCAGGGUUGCAAUGGGAAAUUGCUAUAGCUUGCAGAAAGACCAUGAAACUGCUCUGAAAAAUUUUCAGCGAGCUGUUCAACUUAAUCCAAGAUUCACAUAUGCGCAUACCCUUUGUGGUCAUGAGUAUGGACAAGACUUUUCCUUCCCUUCAUCCUUUAAUUCAUGAAAUUGAAGUUCCUUGUAAUUUGAUGUUUAGUUCCGACCUUGUAUCAGAUAGUUAUGUUGUCAUCGAAUUAUCUAUCUGCAGAUAUGUAGCUCUAGAGGAUUUUGAGAAUGGAAUAAAGAGUUAUCAGAACGCACUUCGUAUUGAUGCAAGGCAUUAUAACGCCUGGUAUGGCCUUGGAAUGGUAUAUCAUCGCCAAGAGAAGUUUGAGUUCUCGGAGCAUCACUUCCGGACGGCUUUCCAAAUCAAUUCACGUUCUUCUGUUAUUAUGACUUAUCUUGCCUCAGCAUUGCAUGCUUUAAAGGUUACAUUCGCAUAUCCAUUCUAACUUUACGGCCUAGAAAUCUUUUUAUUUACGAAAUGGUUCUUAUUUUUUUUAUUCAAUUGUCUGAAAUGUGUUUUAGCCGACCCCACUUAGUGGGAAAAGGCUUUGUUGUUGUUGUUGUUUUUGUCUGAAAUGUGUUUGUAUCAUAUGACAGCGAAGCGAAGAAGCUCUAGUGAUGAUGGAGAAGGCUAUUAGGGCGGACAAGAAGAAUCCACUUCCAAUGUAUCAUAAGGCUAGUAUACUAAUGAGUUUAGAAAAGUUCGAUGAAGCUUUAGCGGUCUUAGAGGAGGUUAAAGAAUACUCUCCUCGCGAAAGUAGUGUCUACGCUUUGAUGGGUAAGAUCUAUAAGCGGCGUAACAUGCAUGAGAAAGCAAUGCUUCAUUUUGGUUAUGCAUUGGAUUUGAAACCAUCGGCAACUGAUGUCGCUACCAUUAAGGUGAUUUGAGCAUAUUUCUUACUCUUUAUUAACACCCCAUAUCAUAUGUGCUUUGAUCGCAACACAAGCGUAGCUUUCAUUUGCAUCUUACUCCAAGGCUCAUCUCUUGAUUUUCCAACAGGCUGACAUUGAGAAGUUACAUGUACCUGAUGAACUAGACGAUGAGUAGGUCCAUCGAGUCGGAAUUCAGUAAAAGAGAACAUCGUGCAAGUUAUCUGGCUGAAAAAGACUCUGCCCGGAGUAGCAGUCUGCUUGUGCUUUCGAAGGCGUAUGAAUGGCCUAGUUCGUGAGGCUCGCCUGCUCAUUCGGGCACCCGCAUCCAAUCUGCAUACUGUAGAACCUGACCUCAGUUUUGUAGGUGAUUCACGUACUGGUAGAGAACAAGAUGUGACGCAAGUACGGAUAGUUGUAUCAUGACGUUGAAAAACUACUUGUAUCAUCAUCUUUAACCCCUAAUGUUUAUGAUUGUAAUCUACCUUGCUCUUUCACCAAAAUUCUAAAAAUCCAUACGUGAUCUUCCCGUCAAUGAAUCUGAAUAGUCGAAUUUACCCGAAUUCAAAACUAGGGUUCUUUUGUUUAUUUUAGGGACACCUUGUGGUGUUCACUCUAUAACUUUUUUCAACGAUCAAAACCGUUUAUAUUUAGUUCAUCAUUCAUAGAUCAUCACUCCAAAAAAUUAGGUAAAUCCAAAUCCACCUUGAAACAAGGGUAACUACUUUUAACGAUUGGAGCUACAAGUCCGACAACUUAUCAACCUUACAAGAUUUUAUUGCCGGUUUUAUUGCAGGGUUAUACAAUAAACACCUUAACAGAGACUAAUAAAUCACUUUUGUGUUUCCAAUUAUUCAACUUGGAGCUGGAGAGAGGCUUCCAUUCUGCUAGCCAUGACUUGCAAGCCAGUGCCAAUAAACAGGUCCAGAUCCUCCAGCCUCCAUCCCUCCACUGGUUCAACUUCAUACUUCCACACAAUCGUACACCCGGCGUCCUUCGGCACCACUUGAACGGUCGAAAUGUACGAGUUAAACCCAACAUUCCCAUCUAUGAUAGAGUAACUAUAUGUCAUAUUUGCUGGGUCAAUAGUCAGCAGCUUCUGCUUAGUCCAGUUCACCUUCUCUUGGUCUUGGUUCUGGUCACUUUUAGGAUCAACCGGAGUCUUGAACCCAGCACAGAACCGCACGCACCCAGCUACCCCCGAUGUGCCUUCAACACCAUGGCAAGUUGUGAGAGUUGGGAACCACUCGUGCAGGCCAAAGAAGUCCUCCAAAAGAGGCCAAAUUUGCUCUGCUUUGGGGCCUUUUAGCUCUGCACUUGCCUUGCCUUCCCAUUUCAAUUGUUUCUCAAGUGCCAUUUGGUUUUCAGGACAAGAAAGCUAAUAACAAAUGGAUGCUUUGAAGAAUGUUUUUCUCAAUAGGCUUUAUAUAGAGGCUUCAUCUGUACGGGAACUGUUAUAUGCACUUCAUGUUGCACCCGUUCCUUCUAAUAAAAACACUUGGAAGAAUUACGUGUGAACAAUUGUAGAAUAACUUUCUUCAAGUGUCAACCACCGCUCUCUAUAUGCAUAUAAUUUCUAAAAUAUGAACUUAUGGUCAUGAGAUCUUGGUGAGAUAAAGCAAGUUCAAUAAGACGAGAGAUACUCUCUUGUCACCAAUUCACCACGUGACAAGCGUUUAUUGGACGGGUGAUGCCACUAGAAGAAGAAAUAUAAAAGAGAGAGAGAGAGAGAGAGAGAAAGAGAGAGAGAGAGAAUUUGUCCAAUGGACAAAGCACUCGUGUACCAUGAAUUUGGAGAAGAUAAGGACUGCUCAACGCCCAACAACUUUAAUCAGCACCACACGUCAGAGAUAUUGAGUUAGAUUUCCUCAAAUUUAUGUGGUGGAAUUUGAAGAUUCUCCCUCCUUUCCGAGGUAUACAAGAAACUAGAAAAGGAUGCAAAACAUCACUAUCAAACCAUAUUUAACAGCCCUGCAAUAAUAUUGGGAUGCAACUUCAGUUGUAUCUCAAGCCAAUCAUACAUUGUCACGUAUACGUAAAUGGCCUGGGAUGCCGCCACAAUAGCAUCUCGUUAUAGGCAAGUUUUUAUCCUCUUACUGAUCCCUAGUAAGUAGUGAUUGAUAGUAGGCUUCAUCUUGAUGAUGAGAUCACUGAAUCAGAAGAAUAGUAAUUGCAGAAGUAAAGGACCAGCUUGAAUGGUAAUAUUAACUGAAACCGAAACUUUAUUUCUGAAAUAGCACCGAGAAAGUAAACAUUUUAGUACGUAUGUAUGACUAUUCGACAUCAAACUAUCACCUUUCUCGGACCUAAGGCCCAGAAAAUGUCCAACGACUUGUUAGAAAACUCGAAAUUAGACUGUACAAAGUCACUCAAGAAGAAAUGUUACUAAUUCAACUCACUUUCUACCUCUAGUUUCUUCUGCUUGUGCAGAUACUUGUAAUGUUAAUGACAUAUUGUUUCGGCUAUGAAUCUGAAACGGAACUGCCUCCCUGUGUAGCCUCUUCAACGGUAUCAAUCCUUGAGGUGUCUGAACUUGUUUCCACCUUCGCUUUAAUGUCAAUGUUCGAGUCUUGUACUGAAAUUUUGCUUUUGGCUUCCAAAUCAGCACCAGUUGUUCCUUCUUUAGAUCCAACUUCUUCAUUUACCUUGUUUUCUCUGAUGUCACUUUGAUUGUUAGAACUCGAAUUCAUUUCCUGAUGUCCGGUAAUUGCGUGAUCACCGCCUGUUCCAGUCACUAUGUAUUCUAUGAGAUCAUGGCCAUCUACUGGCACGCCAUUCACAUCAUCAAAGCCAUGGACCUCUCUGUCUGCCACUCAAUUUUGGCCCUCAAGAGAGUCAUUCUUACUUUCACCACGUGUAAUGUCCUUGUAUGUAGUACUCAAUUCCAUCAAUCACUUUGGCUCCUUGUCAGUGGUACGAGAUUCCUCCAAAUCUCUUUGUCUCCUUAGCUUAGCCCCUUUCAUUUUCUUUCUCGUCGUGCUUAUCUUGUGGUAUUUGCUCCUUGUCCUCUCCUACUUCAUCAUGAUUCCCAUGUUUCGCACCAUCUUGAUCAGCGAAAAUUGCCUGCGUACCUUCGUGUCCCUCUUGGUAAUUUUCUUCAUGCGAAGAACACUUGUCGAGCCCCACCGAUUCAUCAUUUCCUUUAACUUCACCACCAGAAUUAUCAUCUUUAUUGUUCAAUUCUUUUUUCUGAAUUUCUGUUUCCUUUUCAACUUAAUUCACUUCGUUUACGUUCUGCAAAGAUUCUUCCUCAUUUUUCUCUUCAACAUUUCCAUCUUCUUUCUUUACACUUUCUUCUCCUACAUGUUUUGGAUCUUCUGGUGCAGACACACCUCCACCUUUUGACCACCCUGCACUCCCCUUACGUCCGAAAAUAUCAGAACCGCUUCGCUGGCCUUGUCCUUUGAACUUUCACUAUAGUCCUUGCCAUGUGACUGCUUCAUCUGGUAUAGCAACCAGAAGCAAACAGCCAAAAUCAAUGCAAUCUGAAUUGCAUGUUUCACCUUCAACCCUUUGGCGGGUCUCUGGUUGCGCCCGGCAAUCAUCACAACGAUAAGCAAGUCAAGGUUGCAUUUAUAAAAUAUAAAAGACCACCACCCCCCCCCCCUCCCCCCAAAAAAAGAAGAGAAAAAAAAAAAACCACCAAAAACCAGCAAUUAGGGUUUUGUUGUCAACAUCAAAAAAAGGAAAAAUCGCAUAUUAUUAUCACCAAUUAGGGUUUUGCAAAUUUCCAAUCAGAGAACUCCCCUCCCCAUCAAAUUCAGACCUUAAUAUCUUUCUUAAUUAAAUUUCCUCCUGACAAUAUACAACGAUCUACUAACUAAACCAAAAUUUAUGAACAGAAAACAGAAAAACCAGAUAACCCUCAGUUUGGUUUCCGAGAAAAUGCAGGAAAAUGAACUAAAGUUUGAAUCUAUGAGUCAACUAAGUCCAAAUCCAAGUCAAGUCCAUAAUUUUCAGGAAGCUUCCAAUAUUUCCAAAUCAAUUCACGUUCUUCUGCUAUAAUGACUUAUCUUCCCCCAGCACUGCACGCUUUAAAGGUUAUAUUCGCAUAUCCAUUCUAACUUUAUGGCCUAGAAAUCUUUUGAUUUAUGAAAUGAUUCUUAUUUUAUUAUUCAAUCGUCUGAAAUGUGUUUGUAUCAUAUGACAGAGAAGCGAAGAAGCUCUAGUGAUGAUGGAGAAGGCUAUCACGUGACAAGCGUUUAUUGGAGGGAUGAUGCCACUAGAAAAAAAAAAAGAAAAAAAAAGAGACAUUGAGUGAGAAUUGUCCAAUGAGGCAAAGCACUCGUGUAAUAUGAAUUUGGAGAAGAUAAGGACUGCUCAACGCCUAACAACUUUUAUCAGCACCACAUGUCAGAGAUAUUAAGUUAGAUUUCCUCAAAUUGAUGUGAUAGAAUUUGACGAUUCUCCCUCCUUUUCGAGGUAUAGAAGAAACUAGGAAAGGAUACAAAACAUCACUAUCAAUCCAUUUAACAGCCUUGCAAUAAUAUUGGAAUGCAACUGCAGUAGUAUCUCAGGCCAAUCAUAUAUAUUGUCACGUAUAUGUAAAUGGCCUGGGAUGCUGCCACAAUAGCAUCUCAUUAUAGGCAAGUUUUUAUCCUCUUACUGAUCCCUAGAAAGUAGUGAUUGAUGUUGGAAUUAAAUAGAAUUCAGUUUUGUUCAAGUGUUUAAGAAGGAAGAAAUCAAUAGAAAAGUGUAUGUCUAGUCUCAUAAGACAAGUGUAUGCUUUAGAUCUUUGUUUUGAAUCAAGGGCUGAGAUUGCUCUAGAUUAGCUUGUAAGGAAAUAUCCUAAGUUGAUAUUUAUUGAAAUAUCUGUGAUUACUUCACAGAUAAGAAACCUUUCACAUUUUUUCCCCGAUUCUGUUUUUCUCUGGUUCAUCUUCUUGUCUGCCUCCAGGAACCAAAACUAACUCACCAGAAUUUAUCAUGGCCUCAGAGCUUAGGUUCUGAUCAAAUUCAGGACUGGGCGUUUUGUGUGUGUGCUUCGUAUCUCUGAAAAGGAAAGGAGGAAAAACAUACCCAGAUCGUGAAAAUCUCAUAUGUUCUUACAAAGCCUCACAUGGUUACUUCGAGCAGUGGAGGAGAUCUGAGGGCUCCUAUUUUCAAUGGGAUCAACUACGAUUUUUGGUCCAUCAAGAUGAAGACCAUAUUCAAAUCACAUGAUCUCUGGAAUUUGGUGGACAAGGGUUAUGAAGCUGUAGAAACUGAAAAUGAUUCUAGCGAUGAAGAUCAACAGUCUGUGAGGAAGAUAGCAAUGAAAGUUAAUGAAACAAGAGAUGCAAAAGCUCUUGGUAUCAUUCAAGGGGCAGUGUCUGAUGAGAUCUUUCCUCGAAUCUCAAACUUUGAAACCUCCAAGACUGCAUGGGAUGUUCUUCAACAAGAAUUUCGUGGUGAUAAAAAGGUUAGGUCUGUCAAACUACAAUGUUUAAGAAGAGAUUUUGAGUACACUAGGAUGAAUGAUGGUGAAGCUCUAUCUGUUUAUUUAACAAGAUUGACUGAUAUUGUGAAUCAAAUGAAAACUCUUGGUGAAGAACUGACAAAUCAAAGAUUAGUGCAAAAGAUACUUAUUAGCUUGCCUAAAUCUUAUGAUUCCAUCGCAUCUAUUAUAGAAGAAACUAAAGACCUUGACUCCAUUGAGGUUCAAGAAGUGAUUGGUACAUUGAAAGGCUAUGAGCAGAGGUUAAAUAUGCAUUCUGAAAACUUAGCUGAAAAGGCUUUUACUAGCCUAAGUGUGACUGAGAGAGAUAGUAGUUACAGGGGUCAGGGGAGCAACUCAAAUCAAAAGAAAUUAUGGAAAGGAAAAGGGAAGAAAUGGGACAACAACCAUACUUCACAAUCAAAAUCAGAAUCUAGCAGUGAGUCUACCAAAACCAAGUGUAAAAUCUGUGACAAAUUACACUAUGGUGUUUGCUGGUUCAAGGGAAAACCCAAAUGCACCAAGUGUGACAGAUUUGGUCAUCUAGCAAAAGAUUGUAAUCCAAGAAGGAACCAAGUUGUCAACUAUGCACAUAGAGCAGAAGAAGAGGAAGUAAAUGUCUUUUAUGCUUGUAGUGUUGCAAAAACUGAAAACAAGAAAGGAAUCUGGUAUAUUGACAGUGGAUGCAGUAAUCACAUGACUGCAUAUGAAUCCUUACUGAUCAACAUUGACAGAAGCUUCAAUUGCAGAGUUAAAAUGGGGAAUGGACAACUAGUGGAAGCUACUGGAAAAGGAACUCUUGUUCUAGAGACAAAGGGUGGAAGAAGAUUCAUCAAGGAUGUAAUACUUGUACCAGGUCUUGAUGAGAAUCUCCUUAGUGUGGGACAGAUGAUUGCUCAUGGUUACUUCUUACUUUUUGGAGACAAUAUGGUGGAGAUCUUUGAUGACAGAAGCCUCCAAAACUUGGUAACACAAGUUGGCAUGACAGAAAACAAAAGCUUUCCACUUAUGCUAGAUUACAAUGAUUCAAUUGCUCUAAAAGCAAGUGUUGCAGAAAAACUCUUGGUUAUGGCAUAAGAGGUUCGGACAUCUCAACUUUCACAGUUUAAAGAGAUUGGAGAAACUACAAAUGGUGACUGGUCUUCCUGAGUUACAAGAGACUAAAGAACCGUGUGAAGGUUGCAUACUGGGGAAGCAUCACAGGGACUCUUUUGAAACUGGAAGUGCAUGGAGAGCAAGUCAACCUCUAGAACUCAUACACACAGAUGUGUGUGGUCCAAUGAAGACACCUACACUCAGUGGGAACAGAUAUUUUUCUGCUAUUCAUUGAUGACUGCACUAGGAUGGUUUGGGUAUAUCUUAUGAGAAACAAGAGUGAAGUCUUUUCAAUCUUCAAGAAAUUCAAAAUGAUGGUUGAACUUCAGAGUGGUCUCAAGAUCAAAAGACUAAGAAGCGACAGAGGUGGUGAAUUCACUUCACUUGAGUUCCAAGAAUUCUGUGAAGGAGCAGGAUUACAGAAGCAAUUGACAGUGGCCUACACACCACAACAGAAUGGUGUGGCUGAGAGGAAGAACAGGACCGUGGUUGAAAUGACCAAGUCAAUGCUCCAUGAUAAGAAAAUGCCACUUUCUUUUUGGGGUGAAGCUGUCAAUACAUCUGUGUAUCUCCUAAACAGGUGUCCAACUAAAGCACUUGAGAAGAAAACACCGUUUGAGGCAUUUAGUGGCAGAAAACCAAGUGUGAAGCACUUGAAAGUGUUCGGAUCAAUUUGCUAUGCACAGAUACCAUCUCAACUACGACACAAGCUUGAGAUCAAUAGUGUCAAGUGUGUCCUUGUAGGUUAUGGAAGCUGUGAAAAGGGCUAUAGGCUCUACAAUAUUGAGUCACGUAAAGUGAUCCUCUCAAGGGAUGUGGUGUUCAAGGAGAAUGAAGCAUGGAAUUGGGAAACCAAUAACAUAUACACUAUCUCAUUUCCACUAGCAAUGGAAGAAGCACAAGCUGAAGUGCAAAAUGUGAAUGAACCUGUUAUACAAGAUGAGAGUCAAACUGAUUUUUCAACUCCAACACAAGGAUCUCAGUCCUCUACUUCAAAUGCAGAAGGACAAGAAUUACAGGAUUCCUCCCCGGAAACAACUCCAUCGAGAAUGAAGAGUUUAAAUGAGAUAUAUGCAGUGUGUAACUAUUGUGUUGUUGAACCUGAGAGUUUUGAAGAAGCUGAGAAGGAUCAAUCCUGGCAGAAAGCAAUGAAUGAAGAAAUUGCCAUGAUUGAGAAAAACUCUACUUGGAAAUUGGUAAAUAGACCGAGAGAUAAACCUGUGAUAGGUGUGAAAUGGAUUUACAAGAUCAAACUGAAUUUGGAUGGAUCAAUACAGAAGAACAAAGCAAGAUUAGUUGCCAAGGGCUACUCACAACAACCUGGGGUAGAUUUCAAUGAAACUUUUGCCCCAGUGGCAAGGUUAGACACCAUUAGAACCUUGAUUGCUCUUGCUGCCCAAAAGGGAUGGAAACUUCACCAGUUAGAUGUCAAAUCAGCUUUUCUAAAUGGCAUUUUGGAGGAAGAAGUGUAUGUGGAUCAACCACAAGGAUUUGAAGUGCCAAAUAAAGAGGAGAAGGUCUACAAGUUAAACAAAGCACUGUAUGGACUCAAACAAGCCCCCAGGGCUUGGUACAGUGAGAUAGACUCCUAUUUCAGCAAGAGUGGAUUUAACAAAAGUCCUAGUGAAGCAACAUUAUAUACAAAAACUGGUGAGAACUCUGAGAUGCUUAUUGUGUCUAUAUAUGUUGAUGAUGUGGUCUUUACUGGUAAUUGUGAAGAAAUGAUUGAAGAAUUCAGAAGGGAAAUGAUGAGACAAUAUGAGAUGUCGGAUCUUGGCUUGUUGCAUCACUUCUUGGGAAUUGGAGUAAUACAAGAAACUACUGGGAUUUUCAUACAUCAACAGAAGUAUGCACAAUCACUGCUUGAAAGAUUCAAUCUGAAAGGAUGCAAAUCUGUGGCAACACCAUUGAUCACGAAUGAGAAACUUUGUAAAGUGGAUGGUUCUGAAUCUGCUGAUGAAUGCUUAUACCGAAGAAUGGUUGAAAGUCUGCUUUAUUUGACUGCUACAAGACCUGACAUUAUGUAUGCAGCCAGUCUCUUAUCAAGGUUUAUGCAUAAUCCCACGAGAAUUCACAUGGGAACUGCUAAGAGAGUACUAAGGUAUAUCUCAGGGACCUUGGAUUAUGGAAUCAAAUAUGAAAAGGGAAAAAAAGCAAUUAUGGUAGGCUUCUGUGACAGUGAUUGGGGUGGCAGUGAAGAUGACAUGAGAAGUACCACAGGAUAUGCAUUUACAUUCGGUUCUGGGAUAUUUUCUUGGGCUUCUGUCAAGCAACAAAGUGUUGCAUUGUCUACGGCUGAAGCAGAGUAUGUGAGUGCUGCAAUGGCUACCUCCCAAGCUAUAUGGUUGAGGUUUGUGUUAAAGGAUUUUGGUGAAAUGCAAGUGGAUGCUUCACCACUUAUGUGUGACAACACAUCAGCAAUAGCUAUGACCAAGAAUCCUAUUUUUCAUCAGAAAACCAAGCAUAUCAAAAGGAAGUUUCACUUCAUAAGGGAAGCCUUGCAAGAGAAUACCAUUGAACUGAUCUACUGCAAAUCACAGGAUCAAAUGGCCGACAUCUUCACCAAAGCUCUACCGAGGGAAAGGUUUGUCUAUCUCAGAGGAAUGCUUGGGAUCAAAACCAGAAUUCAUUUAAAGGGGAGUGUUGGAAUUAAAUAGAAUUCAGUUUUGUUCAAGUGUUUAAGAAGGAAGAAAUCAAUAGAAAAGUGUAUGUCUAGUCUCAUAAGACAAGUGUAUGCUUUAGAUCUUUGUUUUGAAUCAAGGGCUGAGAUUGCUCUAGAUUAGCUUGUAAGGAAAUAUCCUAAGUUGAUAUUUAUUGAAAUAUCUGUGAUUACUUCACAGAUAAGAAACCUUUCACAUUUUUUCCCCGAUUCUGUUUUUCUCUGGUUCAUCUUCUUGUCUGCCUCCAGGAACCAAAACUAACUCACCAGAAUUUAUCAAUUGAUAGUAGGCUUCAUCUUGAUGAUGAGAUCACUGAAUCAGAAGAAUAGUAAUUGCAGAAGUAAAGGACCAGCUUGAAUGGUAAUAUUAACUGAAACCGAAACUUUAUUUCUGUAAUAUCACCGAGAAAGUAAACAUUUUAGUACGUAUGUAUGACUAUUCGACAUAAAACUAUCACCUGUUCUCGGAUCUAAGGCCAAGAAAAUGUCCAACGACUUGUAAGAAAACUCGAAAUUAGACUGUACAAUGUCACUCAAGAAGAAAUGUUACUAAUUCAACUCACUUUCUACCUCUAGUUUCUUCUGCUUGUGCAGAUACUUGUAAUGUUAAUGACAUAUUGUUUCGGCUAUGAAUCUGAAACGGAACUGCCUCCCUGUGUAGCCUCUUCAACGGUAUCAAUCCUUGAGGUGUCUGAACUUGUUUCCACCUUCGCUUUAAUGUCAAUGUUCGAGUCUUGUACUGAAAUUUUGUUUUUGGCUUCCAAAUCAGCACCAGUUGUUCCUUCUUUAGACCCAACUUCUUCAUUUACCUUGUUUUCUCUGAUUUCACUUUGAUUGUUAGAACUCGAAUUCAUUUCCUGAUGUCCGGUAAUUGCGUGAUCACCGCCUGUUCCAGUCACUAUGUAUUCUAUGAGAUCAUGGCCAUCUACUGGCACGCCAUUCACAUCAUCAAAGCCAUGGACCUCUCUGUCUACCACUCAAUUUUGGCCCUCAAGAGAGUCAUUCUUACUUUCACCACGUGUAAUGUCCUUGUAUGUAGUACUCAAUUCCAUCAAUCACUUUGGCUCCUUGUCAGUGGUACGAGAUUCCUCCAAAUCUCUUUGUCUCCUUAGCUUAGCCCCUUUCAUUUUCUUUCUCGUCGUGCUUCUCUUGUGGUAUUUGCUCCUUGUCCUCUCCUACUUCAUCAUGAUUCCCAUGUUUCGCACCAUCUUGAUUAGCGAAAAUUGCCUGCGUACCUUCGUGCCCCUCUUGGUAAUUUUCUUCAUGCGAAGAACACUUGUCGAGCCCCACCGAUUCAUCAUUUCCUUUAACUUCACCACCAGAAUUAUCAUCUUUAUUGUUCAAUUCCUUUUUCUUUUUUCUGUUUCGUUUUCAACUGUUGGAAAAUAAUAGUAUUUUGGUUUAUUUGAAUGUUUGGUUUUCUUGGCUUAGCUCGUUAGAAUUAGGUUUUGUUAGUUUAUUAUAAAUAUGGUGCUUUGUUAUUCAUUAGAGAACAAGCUAGUCACAAUGUAGCCUAUUAGGGUUUUGUAGUCGUUCUGACAUUCUCGUUUGUUUAAUAAUAUUCUUAUUAUUUUGUAGUAUUGUUCGUUGCGCACUCUGAUUUUCAACUUGGUAUCAAAGCAGGUUUGAUUUUUUGGGUUGAAUCUGUUACAAAGCCGUGAAACCCAUAAAUCAUUUCUGUUUCCAUUGUCUGAUCAGAACCCUCUUGCACCCACACCCUGAUCCGUAGCUGUCGUUGCCCCGUGUUGCUGCAAUCUGAUCCGUUUGCAUCGACACCUUGUUCUUGCACUCGCACCGUUUUCUCACUUAUUACAUAUUUGCCUAUUCAUUUAUUACAUAAUUACCUUUGAAUCCUCCGAGUAUUUAUACGAGAUCUAAAUACGGAGGCCCUAAGUAUGGUAUAAACAGUAGUCCCCCAAGUCUUCAGUCAAGAGAGUCUUUUGGCUGGAAACUUGAAAUUCAGUCCAUGUGUGGGCUGAAGUAACUAGAUGUCGUCUAGAACUGAUACUCGAUAUGAGGCGGUACUCAAUCUGAAAUGAUGCUCAACUAGAAGUAGCACAUGUUGCGAGGCUGCUCUGCUUGUGGCUUAUGUUGCCUUGGUUGGCUCGGCUUGUGGCGUUGAAGGUGAGGGAGUCCCUUUUAUAGAAUAAGGGCUCACUCCUCAAUACAUAAAUGAUGGGCUAGAAUCGAUACGCGCGGCGAGGCGGUUGCUCAGCAGGCGGCGAUGUUCUCUAAUAAUGGUGAGGGAGUCCCUUUUAUAGAAUAAGGGCUCGCUCCUCAAUACAUAAGUGAUGGGUUAGGAGUGAUGCUCGCCGCGAGGCGGUUGCUCAGCAGGCGGCGAUGCUCUCUAAUGAUGGUGAGGGAGUCCCUUUUAUAAAAUAAGGGAUCGCUCUUCAAUACAUAAAUAAUGGGUGCUCUCUAAUGAAAGUGGGGGAGUCCCUUUUAUAGAAUAAGGGCUCGCUCCUCAAUACAUAAGUGAUGGGCUAAGUCCCCCAAGUAUUUUUCAUGAAGCCCAGUUGAGGCCCAAUAUAUGGUAUAUAAUGUAGUCCCCCAAGUCUUCAGUCAAUAGAGGUUGUUGGCUGGAGACUUUCAAAUUCAAGCCAUGUAUGGGCCGAAGUGGUGGUUGUUCGGAGGCGGUCUUUGUAAACCAUGCACUGAAGCUUUGUAGGUGAAGCUUUGAAGCUAAAGCUUUUGUAAAUGAAGCUUUUGAAGCUGGAGCUCUCGAAGCUGGAGCUCUGUAAAUGAAGUUUUCGAAGCUGAUUGACAUGAGUGAUGCUCAUGAAUAUUUAUGUUGAUUGACAUGAGUGAUGCUCAUGGAUGUUGACAUGAGUGAUGCUCAUGAAUGUUGACAUGAAUGAUGGUCAUGAAUGUUUAUGUAUGAUUGACAUAAGUGAUGCUCAUGAAUGUUUAUGUAUGAUUGACAUGAGUGAUGUUUAGGGAAGGCCAAUUCUUAGGCCAUGGAAGGGCUUUCUCACCCUCAGAAGCUCUCUCCAUCUCUCUCCCUCACAAAUAGAGAAAUACAAAUAUCAGUGUGGACGUAGCCCAAACAUUGGGGUGAACCACGAUACAUCUUGUGUUAUUUACAUUUCUUGCAGAUUCACGGUCGGAUUUACGUUGCUCCAAGAUCUCCGAUUUUGUGCAUCAACAGAGGCUAGAGAAAUCGCAGAGACAUUGUCACACCAAAGAGUGGGAAUGACAGUGAGUUGAAGAGCAACAUCUCUGAAAAUUUUACACACCCAUAUGAGUUCAGCUGCAGUGUGCGCAAGAGAUCUAUAUUCGGCCUCUGUAGAAGAUCGAGCAACAAUAUGUUGCUUUUUGGCACUCCAACUAAUCAAGUUUCUGCCCAAAUAUAUAUAGUAGCUACUUGUAGACAUUUGAUCAAACACACAACCGGCCCAAUCUGCAUCAGAAUAGGCUGUAAGGUGCAAGGAACUCUUCGUAAACCACAUUCCUUGAUCAAAUGUACCUUUUAAGAACCGUAAGAUUCUCUUGACAUCCUGAAAGUGUGAAUCACGAGGACAAUGAAGAAAUUGGCAGACUUGAUUCACUGCAAAGGAAAUGUCAGGUCUGGUCCAAGUGAGAUACUGUAGAGCCCCGACGAUAGACUUGUAUUCUUUAGGAUCAGCUAAUGGAACGCCAACAUGAUCAAGCUUUUGAGUUCCCAAAGGGGUAACACAAGGUUUACAACCUUCCAUGUUUGUCUUGAUUAAGAGAUCUAAAGCAUAUUUGCUUUGAGACAGAAAGAUGUCGUCAUUGGAUCUAUGAACUUCUAGUCCAAGGAAAUAGUGCAAUGAGCCUAAAUCCUUAACUAGAAAUAAGGAACCAAGAUGCUGAAUAAAGUGUUGACAUAGAGAGGUAUUGGGACCAGUUACCAGUAUAUCAUCCACAUAUAUAAGGAUUAGGACAAGGAAUGGUUUAAGUUUCACAAACAGAGAGCAAUCAGAUUGAGAGUUUGUAAAACCAAGAGAUACCAGAGUGUGAAAGAGCUUGUCAUACCAUGCCCUAGGGGCUUGCUUUAAGCCGUAGAGAGAGCGUUUGAGUUUGAAAACAUGUGAAGGUUUGGAUGGAUCAAUAAAACCGGGUGGUUGUUGCAUAAAAACCUUUUCUUGGAGAUUUCCAUGGAGGAAGGCAUUGUUGCUGUCAAGUUGGUUUAAAAACCAAUCAUAUUGGACUACAAGUGUAAGGAGAAUGCGAAUGGUAAUAGGUUUGGCAACCGGGCUGAAAGUCUCUUUGAAAUCAACACCUUCUUAUUGAUGGAAGCCCUUAGCAAUAAGACGGGCUUUGUAUCGAUCAAUAGAACCAUCAGGUUUCCUUUUGAUUCGGAAAACCCAUUUGCAUCCGACUAGAUUUUGAUGAGGAGAUGAGGGUACAAUAUUCCAAGUGCCGGUGGACUGGAGAGCUUGAAAUUCUUCCAUCAUGGCUUUAUUCCAGUGAUCAUAUUUGGAGGCUUGCAAAUAAGUAGUAGGCACAAAAGAAGUAGAAUCAAUAGGAUGUUUUAUAGCUGUUAAUACUUUUGGCUUGAAAAUUCCAGCUUUAGACCGAGUGAUCAUGGGAUGAGUGUUUGUGGGAACUGAAAUUAAAGAAGAAUGAUGCUCUUGAGAUGAGGCAAAAGCUUGAGUGUGUUGGGAAUGUUGAGGUGGAGAGACUAAUGGUGUUGAGGAAGAACCUUGAGAUAUAUAUGGACCCGGAGAUGAAUGAGACACAGAAGACGGUUGGGUGGUAGAGAUGUUUGAUUGAGGAAAUGGCAAUGAGAACUCAGUUGAUGUAGAUGAGGAAGUACAAUGUGUGUGAAGAAGUUUGGUGAGGAUAAGAAAAUCAUGAAAUGGAAAAUGGUCUUCAUUGAAAAGGACAUGCCGUGAGAUAUAAACCCUGUUGGACAGUGUAUCUAAACACCUAUAGCCUUUGUGUUGAAGACUAUAGCCCAGAAAAACACAUGGUGUGCUUUUACCAUCCAACUUUGAUUGCAUAUAUGGCUUAAGCCAAGGGUAGCAGCAUCAACCAAAUAUCUUCAACUUUGAAUAAUCAUGAGGCAUGUUAAAAAGAAUUUCCCAUGGAGACUGAGAGGAUCCAGAGAUAGGUAGUCAAUUGAUAAGAUACAGUGCAGUAGAAAAAGCAUCUACCCAAAAUCUGUGUGGAACUUUAGAAGCAACAAGAAGUGUCCUUGCAGUCUCAAUAAGAUGUCAAUGCUUGCGUUCCACACAACCAUUUUGUUCAGGUGUGUGUGGGCAGCUAAAUUGAUGAGAAAUACCAUGCUGAAGCAAGAAAGAAAUAAAUGCAGAACUUGUGAACUCACCCCCUGAAUCUGUUCGAAAAAUCUUGAUUUUAUUUCCAAGUAAAUUUUCAACAUAUGUUUUGAAAUUUACAAAGAUAGAAAAGACUUCAGACUUUGCCUUUAAAGGAAACAUCCAACUGUAUUUGUUAUACUCAUCUACAAAGAGUACAUAGUACUUAUAGCCACUAACAGAUGAAACUGGACAGGGACCCCAGACAUCACAAUGAAUCAAGUCCAAGUUAUUUAAGACAGUGGUGGUACUAGAAGAAAAUGGCAGCUUGUGAUGUUUACCAAUUGCACAGUUUGCACAAAAAAACUUAACAGAAGCUGAAUUAUUAGUAACAAGCUUAUUUGGAUGCAAUAUCCUUCUGAGAAUGGUUGUUGAAGGGUGGCCAAGGCGUUUGUGCCAUUGUUGUAAUGAAACCUGAGUGCUAACAAGUGCAGAGAAUGAAGCUUGGAAUGGUUGUCCUUUCAGAUGAUAGAAACCAUCCCUAACUGGGCCCCGAAAAAACGUCUUCCCAGUGGAACGGUCAUUGAUGACAAAACCAUCAUAAUCAAGAGUUAAAGAGCAAUAAUUGUCUCUUAGAAAUUGAUACGCAGAGAGCAAAUUGAAUUGCAUCAUUGGCACAUGGAGAACAUUAUUUAAGUGUUUUAAGUACAGAAGAACCGGUGUGGUGAAUUGGCAUACCUUGACCAUCACCAGCAUAAACCUUGUUUUCACCAGAGUAAGGGAUGGGAGAAGAUAUUGCUGAGAUAUCAUUGGUGACAUGAGCAGUGGAGCCAGAGUCCAGAAGCCAUGUAGGCUGAGAGGAAGAAGAAGUAUUGGCACACAUAGCAACAAGCUUGGCAGGUGGAAUCUUUCCAGCAAAAGCAUGGUUCAUUCGAGCAUAGCAAUCAAGGGCCUCAUGAUCAAAAGAAUUGCAUAUUUGACAGGGAGACCGAUUUCCAGAAUUAUGAGUAUAGCCACCAGAAUUACGAUUGUAGUUACCAGAGUUGUGACGGAAAUUAUCAUUACCAGUGCCAAAAUUGUUGUAAUUGCCACGAUAGUUACCACGACCUUUAUUGUUCUUCUGAAAAUUGCCUCGGCCACGGUUAUUGCGCUGGAAAUUGGAGCGAUUGAUGUAGUUAGAUUGGUGGACAUCAUUAGCCUGUUAGGAAUGAGGCGUAGGUAAAAGACCUUGCUGGAGAGAUGGACCUUAAGCAGCAAAUGCAUGAAAUGGUUAUGUAAGGGAAGAUGCAGAAGCUUUCUUCUUUCUAUGCAUGAAAAGUUCUUUGUUCAGAAAGAGGCCAUGAAGUUCAUCUAAGGAAGUAGAUGAAAUUCGAAGCAUGAUAGAAUCUACGAAGGAUUCAUAAUCAUCAGAGAGGCCAUUUAAGAUAACAUCAAUAAGAUCUUGAUCUAACACCGGAGCUCCGGCAGCCGUAAGAGCGUCAAAUAUGCCUUUGAUACGCUAUAGAUAAUCAGAGAUUGACAUAUCGCCUUUCUGAAUGGCAUGAAGACGUGAUCAGAGUUGAUGAAUGUGCGCCACUGAGACACCGUCAAAUCGUUGUUCAAGAAUCUGCCAUAAUUCUCGAGACGAAGUAACCCUGACGGUGAAUGGAAUGAGAUAUUCAGAGAAGGUUGAAUUCAGCCAGAUAAGGAUAUUUUGAUCCUUUUCAAACCAGAUCUCGAAAGUAGGAUUAGGAACUGCAGUAGUUGCACCAUAUUGAUCAAGAAUAAAAGGCGGUGGACACACCUCCGAUCCAUCGAUAAUGCAUGUAAGUUUGUAUCGUCGAAAAAUUGGAGCGAAAAGAGCUUUUCAGACCAGAUAAUUAUCCCACUUAAGCUUUGUAGGAACCAUACAACUGAUGUUUUGAAUUGAAAUUGAAGAAAUUGAACAGAGAUUCGAAGAGUUAGGGUUUAUCGGAACAAAAUUUGAUGAAAGAUGGGUGGGAUUCUGAGUGAAAACUUCCGGAUUUGCAAGUGAAGAAGUAGAAGACACCAUUGGGGAUCAAGAUUUGCAGGGAGAAAAUCAAAGAGGAUCAGAGAAAUCGAAGAUUGCAGAAGAAGCUAGGAUUGGUGAUUGAGCAGAGAGGCAAUUGAUACCAUAUAAGAAAUAACUCUGAUAUUUCAUUUCUUAAUGAAUAAGAAAUUACAAUGGGUUUAUAUACAGCAGAGAAAAAUAGCUUAGUAACUAAUUACAUCUAGUUAACUCACUAAUCUAGUAAUUAGUUACAAGGACAGUUGUAACACACUUGUAACAAAAAUACAACUAACUAUUUAUAUGCCUUUUUACUAGCUCUGUGUUAUUUGACGAAACCUCACAUCUCCAUUUUUUCCGACGAGUUGCAGGUUUCCCAUCGUGUUUUCCGGCCAAACCUCGUCAAAUUGGAUGAGGUUAGCACCACCAACAAACUGUUCUCCAUCCCUGGACACAGAUCGAAGCUUUGCAUGCUCGAAUCUGUCAUGGAUUCGAAGAAACCCAAACAUGCCAAGACUUCCGGGCCAAUUUACGGCCACCUCCGAUCAUCUUUUGGCCUCGAUUCCGGUAGAAACUGAAUCCCCUCACUCCCAACUUCAGUUUGGUAUAUUUUUAUGUGAAAAUUGGUUGUGAAACGUAUUUGAAAGAGAUGGUCGAAUCGAAAAGUUAACGGCAAUGUGUGGUCGGAGGUCACAAGGAGUGGCCGUAAGUAGUCGUCGAGCAAGACAAGGAUGAGAGAAAUGAUGGUCUUAGCUAGUUCCAUGGUUCUCGGCGGUACUCGCUAAGACCAGAUAGUCCUGCCCUUAGUCGAGGCGAGUGAGAGCUAGUCUCACUAAAGCUAAUCCUUGCUGGGAACAAACAUGGGACUUGACUAACCCUUAAUUUUGUCUAGUCCAGUGAAUUUUAACGAGGACAAACAAAUGCCCCCUUCUAAUUUCUUCUAUACCUCGGAAAGGAGGGAGAAUCUUCAAAUUCUAUCACAUAAAUUUGAGGAAAUCUAACUGAUCAAUAUCUCUGACGUGUGGUGCUGAUCAAAGUUGUUAGGCAUUGAGCAGUCCUUAUCUUUCUCCAAAUUUCUGGUACAUGAGUGCUUUGUCUAAUUCUCCCUUUUUUUUGUUGUUUUUUUUUCUUUUCCUAAUGGCAUCACCCAUCCAAUAAACGCUUAUCAAGCGGUGAAUUGGGAGAGAUUUUUUAGUGUGACUGGUACACGGGUGAUACACCACGUGUCACUAUAUAAAUGAUAAGAUAUGUGUGUUAAAAAGUUCAUAACUUAGAACAUAAAAUUGUUCACCACUUAUAUAAAAACAAGUGAUGUACCCUCCGUAUUCCGGUCACAAUCAAAUUUUUUUCGUGAAUUGGUGAUAAGAGAGUAUCUCUCGUCUGAUUGAACUCUGCUUUAUCUUACCAAGAUCUCAUGACCGUAUGUUCAUAUUUUAGAAAUUAUAUGCACAUAGAGAACGGUGUUUCGCACUUCAAGAAAGUUAUUCUACAAUUGUUCACACGUAAUUCUUCUAAGUGUUUUUAUUAGAAGGAACGGGUGCAUCGUGAAGUGCAGAUAACAGCUCCCAUACAGAUGAAGCCUUUAUAUAAAGCGUAUUGAAAGAAACAUUCUACAAAGCAUCCAUUUGUUAUUAGCUUUCUUGUCCUGCAACCCAAAUGGCACUUGAGAAACAAUUGAAAUGGGAAGGCAAGGCAAGUGCAGAGCUAAAAGUGACCAGAACUUGCCAUGGUGUUGAAGGCACACCGGGGGUAGCCGGGUGCGUGUGGUUCUAUGCUGGGUUCAAGACUCCGGUUGAUCCUAAAAGUGACCAGAACCAAGACCAAGAGAAGGCGAACCGGACUAAGCAGAAGCUGCUGAGUAUAGACCCAGCAGAAAUGACAUAUAGUUACUCUAUCAUAGAUGGGAAUGUUGGGUUUAACUCGUACCUUUCGACCGUUCAAAUGGUGCCGAAGGACGCCGAGUGUACGAUUGUGUGGAAGUAUGAAGUUGAACCAGUGGAGGGAUGAAGGCUGGAGGAUCUGGACCUGUUUAUUGGCACUGGCUUGCAAGUCAUGGCAAGCAGAAUGGAAGCCUCUCUCCAGCUCCAAGUUGAAUAAUUGGAAACACAAAAGUGAUUUGGUAGAGAGAAUGGCAAGUGAUUUGUAUAACCCUGCAAUAAAACCGGCAACAAAAUCCAGUAAGGUUGAUAAGUUGUCGGACUUGUAGCUCCGAUCGUUAAAAGUAGUUACCCUUGUUUCAAGGUGGAUUAGGAUUUUUUUUUUUAGGGAUGAUUUAUGAAUGGGGGUAAGGCUAGCCGACAUUCACCUUUCCCAGAUCCUGCGUAAAGCGGGAGCCUUGUGCACUGGGUACAACCUUUAAGGGAUGAUUUAUGAAUGAUGAACUAAAAUAUAAACGUUUUUAAUCGUUGAAAAAAGUUACAGAGUGAACACCACAAGGUGCCCCUGAAAUAAACAAAAGAACCCUAAUUUUGAAUCUAGGUAAAUUCGACAAUUUAGACUUUUUGACGGGAAGAUCACGUAUGGAUUUUUAGAAUUUUGGUGAAAGAGAAAGACAGAGCAAUCAUAAACAUUAGGGUUAAAGAUGAUGAUACAAGUAAUUUUUCAACAUCAUGAUACAACUAUCCGUACAAGUACAGCAACUAUUAGUACUUGUGUCACAUCUUGUUCUCUACCAGUAUGUGAAUCACCUACAAAACUGAGGUCAGGUUCUACAGUAUGCAGACUGGAUGCGGAUGCCCGAAUGAGCAGGCAAGCCUCACGAACUAGGCCAUUCAUACGCCUUCGAAGUAAAAGCAGACUACUACUCGGGGCAGAGUCUAUUCAGCCGGAUAACUUGCACGAUGUUCUCUUUAACUGACUUCCGACAUGAUGGAUCUACUAAUCGUCUAGUUAACUUCUCAAUGUCAGCAUGUUGAAAAAUCAAGAGACGAGCCUUGAAGUAAGAUGCAAAUGAGAGCUACGAUUGUGUUGCGAUCAAAGCACUUAUGGAAAUUAAGUUAUCAAUAUUGGAUGUUAAUAAAGACUAAGAAAUAUGCUCAAAUCUCACCUUAAUGGUAGCGACAUCGGUUGAGGAUGGUUUCAAAUCCAAUGCAUAACUGAAAUGAAGCAUUGCUUUCUCAUGCAUGUUACGCCGCUUAUAGAUCUUACCCAUCAAAGCGUAGACACUACUUUCACGAGGAGAGUAUUCUUUAACCUCCUCUAAGACCGCUAAAGCUUCAUCGAACUUUUCUAAGCUCAUUAGUAUACUAGCCUUAUGAUACAUUGGAAGUGGAUUCUUCUUAUCCGCCCUAAUAGCCUUCUCCAUCAUCACUAGAGCUUCUUCGCUUCUCUGUCAUAUGAUACAAACACAUUUCAGACGAUUGGAUAAUAAAAUAAGAAUCAUUUCGUAAAUCAAAAGAUUUCUAGGCUGUAACAUUAGAAUGGAUAUGCGAAUGUAACCUUUAAAGCGUGCAGUGCUGAGGGAAGAUAAGUCAUUAUAACAGAAGAACGUGAAUUGAUUUGGAAAUAUUGGAAGCUUCCUUAAAGUUAUGGAAUUAAAUUGGAUUUGGACUUGGUUGACUCAAAGAUUAAAACUUUAGUCCAUUUUCCUGUAUUUUCUCGGAAACCAAACAGAGGGUUAUUUUGGUUUUUCUGUUUUCUGUUCAUAAACUUUGGUUUAGUUAGUAGAUCGUUGAACAUUGUCAGGACGAAAUUUAAUUAAGAAAGAUAUUAAGGUCUGAUUUUUUUUUUUUGGGGUCUUUCAUAAAUGAAACCUUGACUUACUUAUCGUUGUGAUGAUUAAUCGAGAAUUUAUAAGGAGCUUGUCUUUUGAGCAGUUGUAAAGAGUUUGGAUGAAUAACCAGUCUACCGGGCGUAACCAGAGACCUGCCAAAGGGUUGAAGGUGAAACAGGAAAUUCAGAUUGCAUUGAUUUUGGCUGUUUGCUUCUGGUUGCUAUACGAGAUGAAGCAGUCACAUGACAAGGACUAUAGUGAAAGUUCAAAGGACAAGGCCAGCGAAGAACGUGGUUCUGAUAUUUUAGGGCCGAAGGGGAGUGCAGGGUGGUUAAAAGGUGGAGUUGUGUCUGCAUCAGAAGAUCUGAAACAUGUAGGAGAAGUAAGUGUGUUGAUGCACAAAACCGGAGGUCUUGGAGCAACGUAAAUCCGACCGUGAAUCUGCAAGAAAUGUAAAUAACACAAGAUGUAUCGUGGUUCACCCCAAUGUUUGGGCUACGUCCACACUGAUAUUUGUAUUUUUCUGUUUGUGAGGGAGAGAGAUGGAGAGAGCUUUUGAGGGUGACAGAGCCCUUCCAUGGCCUAAGAAUUGGUCUCCCCUAAUGAGGAGAGUGAGGAGUCAUUUUAUAGAAUAAGGGCUCCUCACUUAUUACAUAUUUGCUCAUUCAUUUAUUACAUAAUUACAUUUGAGUCCUCCGAGUAUUUAUACUAGAUCUAAAUACAGAGGCCCUAAGUAUGUUACAAACAGUAGUCCCCCAAGUCUUCAGUCAAGAGAGUCUUUUGGCUGGAGACUUGAAAUUCAGUCCAUAUGUGGGCCGAAGUAACUAGAUGUCGUCUAGAACUGAUACUUGAUAUGAGGCGGUGCUCAAUCUGAAAUGAUGCUCAACUAGAAGUAGCACAUGUUGCGAGGCAGCUCUGCUUGUGGCUUAUGGUGCCUUGGUUGGCUUGGCUUGUAGCGUUGAAGGUGAGGGAGUCCCUUUUAUAAAAUAAGGGCUCGCUCCUUAGUACAUGAAUAAUGGGUUACGAGUGAUGCUCGCGGCGAGGCGGUUGCUCAACAGGCGGCGAUGCUAUCUAAUGAUGGUGAGGGAGUCCCUUUUAUAAAAUAAGGGCUCGCUCCUCAAUACAUAAAUAAUGGGUGCUCUCUAAUGAAAGUGAGGGAGUCCAUUUUAUAGAAUAAGGGCUCGCUCCUCAAUACAUAAGUGAUGGGCUAAGUCCCCCAAGUAUUUUUCAUGAGGCCCAGUUGAGGCCCAAUAUAUGGUACAUAAUGUAGUCCUCCAAGUCUUCAGUCAAUAGAGGUUGUUGGCUGGAGACUUUCAAAUUCAAGCCAUGUAUGGGCCAAAGUGGCGGUUGUUCGGAUGCGGUCUUUGUAGACCAUGCACUGAAGCUUUAUAUGUGAAGCUUUGAAAGUGAAGCUUUGAAACUGGAGCUUUUGUAAAGAAGCUUUUGAAGCUGGAGCUUUUGUAAAAGAAGCUUUUGAAGCUGGAGCUCUGUAAAUGAAGCUUUCGAAGCUGAUUGACAUGAGUGAUGCUCAUGAAUAUUUAUGUUGAUUGACAUGAGUGAUGCUCAUGGAUGUUGACAUAAGUGAUGCUCAUGAAUGUUAACAUGAGUGAUGCUCAUGAAUGUUAACAUGAGUGAUGCUCAUGAAUGUUGACAUGAAUGAUGGUCAUAAAUGUUUAUGUAUGAUUGACAUGAGUGAUGCUAAUGAAUGUUUAUGUAUGAUUGACAUGAGUGAUGCUCAUGAAUGUUUAUGUAUGAUUGACAUGAGUGAUGCUUAUGUAUAAUUUUGGAGUAUUGGACGUACUUUUGAUCACUUGGUUGGUGAUAAUAACGGCAGGCUGCUGAAUAAUUUUGGAGUACUGGGCGUACUUUUGAUCACCUGGUUGGUGAUAAGAGCGGCAGGUUGCCAAAUAAGUUUGGAGUACUGGACGUACUUUUGAUCACCUGGUUGGUGAUAAUAGAGGGCUUGGCUCUUUUGGGCAUAUGGGCAUUCACCCUCCACCUAACAUUCCAGCCCAUUAUUUUGGGCUUGACGUUUUUUUUUUUUUUUUUACCCUCUGAUGGGGUUAUACAAAUGUCUCCUAAAGAUAAGAAAAAUAAACAUCAUUCAAAAAUAAGAAAAGUAAAUCACAUCUUUCUGGUGGAGUGUUUAUUCCUUGCUUUUGCAGUGUCCCCAUGUGCCUCCCUUUUGCUUUCUGCUUUUUCUCGGUUUUUUCUGCUUUGCUUUUGCUUUUCUUCUUUUCUCUUUUCCUUUAUUCCACUUUUGCUUUCUCAGAAAAUGAAGAUGCAGGGGAUGGGUCAUUGAUCUCAUCUAGCAGGUUAUCUGCAGCAUACAGAGCAUCUUUGAUCUACACUAGCUUCCCUGCAAUUUGUCGAGGUACUAGGGCUGGCCAUGGCCCCUCUUGAUCGCUUCCAGGAGAUCGAAAGAUUGAGAAUCGGACGGCGGAGCCUUACCGGAGAUCCAUCGCCGCUGAAACGAGAGGGAAUCAGAGACCGACGGACGGCGGAGAUCGGAUACGAUCAAACAUCGACGGCAGCCAUCGGACCUCAAAAUCCGUGGUAGUUUCAUCCUCUCUCUCACUCUCUCUGGAGUUCGUCUCUACCUCACUCUCGCGAGAUAUGGAUUCAUCCCUGAAAUGUUGUAGAAAUCAUCUGAUAUCUUGAUAUCUUGUCAUUGUAAGACAAGCAGCCACUGACCCAUAGCCGACACGACACCGUCUCAGCAUCAGUAACCUCAAGUUGAGUAGUAAUCUCGUGCAAGAACAAUGUUUCAGCACCCAAAGUAGCUUGAGAACAACAUCUUGGCAAAAAAAAGCUGCAAAUAAUAACUUUCCUUAUACCUCUGAGACAAUCUCACUUUAGCACUCUCAUGUUCCACAUUUUUCUCUGUUCAAGGCUCUUACCACAGAAUACAAACAUGCACGGAGAUGUGACAUGCAGAACUCGGAGGUGGAUAAACUUGAUGGAAUCUGUGAUUCGAGAGCUGAAAGAAGGUUGAAUGACGCAUCGAUCUCGGAUCUGAGAUGAGGAGGAUAGGGAUGAAGGCAGGCUCUCGAGCAUCUCGCCAUGAGAGAUUGAUGAGAGAAUGACAGGAAAAAGAUCACUCGUCUUUGGGAAGUGGUUAGCCCUGACUUGGACCUUCUCGCCGACCUUCCCGUAGCCAGGCCUAGCUGGACACACGGCGGGCUUCGACGACGACGGUGGCGGGGCGGUCAGCAUCAGUUUCAAGAGAGGAGGAAAAGCUCAUCCAAGCUGUUGAAUACAUUGAUGAUGAGAUUGUCAUUGGUGAUGGAGUGGAUGUCUGACUGAGAGAUUUUGAAGUCGUUGGGACGGGUUGAAAUUGGAGCAAUCAGAGAGAAGCAGAGUUGCGGAUGGUGACUUCAGUGUGGGUUUUCUGCUGUUCUAAAAUGACGACGAUUCGGUCCCUCCGGAGCCGCACGAACAGGACAACGGUGGAUCGGGCCUGGUGGUCGUCCCAGAUCAUGACUUUAUUGGUCGGGUACUGAGGGUCGGGUCUACCGCCGAGGGUCAGAGUUAGGGUUGGGCCAUGAAUGUGUUGGUUUAUGUCUGGGCUGCUUGGAGAAUUUGGCCACAGAAAGAGGGGUUUUUGGUUUCUUGGUUUUGCAGAUUCAUGGUGGAGGUUGUGAAGUUCUCACGGUGGUGAGAUGGAAAAUGAAAGAUAACCAACAUAGCUUUUCGUGUCGAUUCCCAUAGACGGCACCAAAUGUUGAUGCACAAAGUCGGAGGUCUCAGAGCAACGUAAAUCCGACCGUGAAUCUGCAAGAAAUGUAAAUAACACAAGAUGUAUCGUGGUUCACCCCAAUGUUUGGGCUACGUCCACACUGAUAUUUGUAUUUCUCUGUUUGUGAGGGAGAGAGAUGGAGAGAGCUUAUGAGGGUGAGAGAGCCCUUCCAUGGCCUAAGAAUUGGCCUCCCCUAAUGAGGAGAGUGAGGAGUCCUUUUAUAGAAUAAGGGCUCCUCACUUAUUACAUAUUUGCCCCUUCAUUUAUACAUAAUUACCUUUGAGUCCCCCGAGUAUUUAUACGAGAUCUAAGUACGGAGGCCCUAAGUAUGGUACAAACAGCCUCAAAUCCAGUUUUUCAUGCUCGCACAAAGCAUGUGGAAAUUGAUUACCAUUACAUUCGUGAACUCGUUCUUGCCAAACUGCUCCGAGUACAAUAUCUCAAUACUCAGCAUCAAGUUGCUGAUAUCCACACUAAAUCUCUUUCCAAAGCUCGGUUUCAAUAUCUUCAAUCCAAGCUUUGACUCGGUUCUCCUCCGUUUAGCUUGAGGGGGUGUAAAGAGGCAUAUAAAUAGUUGGUUUAAUUUUUGUUACAAGUGUGUUACAACUGUCCUUGUAACUAAUUACUAGAUUAGUGAGUUAACUAGAUGUAAUUAGUUACUAAGCUAUUUUUCUCUGCUGUAUAUAAACCCAUUGUAAUUUCUUAUUCAUUAAGAAAUGAAAUAUCAGAGUUAUUUCUUAUAGCUAGAGCAAGGGAAAGAGGAGAGAAAGAUUGGAAUCGAGAGGGAGUAGGACAGAAAAAAGAGAGAGAUAGAGACUGGAAUUGAGAUGUCUAAUCUGGAAGAAGGAAGGGUGGGACGGAGAAGGCUAUUAGGGCGGAUAAGAAGAAUAUUCCCCUCGUGAAAGUAGUGUGUACGCUUUGAUGGGUAAGAUCUAUAAGCGGCGUAACAUGCAUGAGAAAGAAAUGCUUCAUUUCGGUUAUGCAUUGGAUUUGAAACCAUCCACAACUGAUGUCGCUACCAUUAAGGUGAGAUUUGAGCAUAUUUCUUAGUCUUUAUUAACAUCCAUUAUUGAUAACUUUCCAUAUGCGCUUUGAUCCAACACAAUCGUAGCUCUCAUUUGCAUCUUACUCCGAGGCUUGUCUCUUGAUUUUUCAACAGGCUGACAUUGAGAAGUUACAUGUACCUGAUGAACUAGACGAUGAGUAGAUCCAUCAUGUCGGAAGUCAGUUAAAGAGAACAUCAUGCAAGUGAGUAGCGGUCUGCUUGUGCUUUCGAAGGCGUAUGAAUGGCCUAGUUCGUGAGGCUUGCCUGCUCAUUCGGGCACCCGCAUCCAGUCUGCAUACUGGAGAACCUGACCUCAGUUUUGUAGGUCAUUCACGUACUGGUAGAGAACAAGAGGUGGCACAAGUACUAACAAGUAAUAGCUGCUGUACUUGUACGGAUAGUUGUAUCAUGAUGUUGAAAAAUUACUUGUAUCAUCAUCUUUAACCCUAAUGUUUAUGACUGUAAUCUGCCUUGCUCUUUCACCAAAAUUGUAAAAAUCCAUACGUGAUCUUCCCAUCAACGAGUCUGAAUCGUCGAAUUUACCCAAAUUCAAAACUAGGGUUCUUUUGUUUAUUUCAGGGACACCUUGUGGUGUUUACUCUCAUUUUUUUCAAUGAUCAAAACUGUUUAUAUUUUUUAGUUCAUUAUUCAUAGAUCAUCCCUCCAAAAAAUUAGGUAAAUCCAAAUCCACCUUGAAACAGGGGUAACUACUCUUAACGACUAGAGCUACAAGUCCGACAACUUAUCAACCUUACUGGAUUUUGUUGCCGGUUUUAUUGCAGGGUUAUACAAAUCACUUGCCAUUCUCUCUACCAAAUCACUUUUGUGUUUCCAAUUAUUCAACUUGGAGUUCAAGAGAGGCUUCCAUUCUGCUAGCCAUGACUUGCAAACCAGUGCCAAUGAGCAGGUCCAGAUCCUCCAGCCUCAAUCCCUCCACUGGUUCAACUUCAUACUUCCACACAAUCAUACACCCGGCG
rnacentral:lncRNA from 1 species